UGACAUUUUGAUUCUUUCCUUACAUUUUCUUUAUAGAUAUUCAAGAAUUUUAUGAGGUGACACUUCUAAAUUCUCAAAAAAGUUGUGAACAAAAGAUUGAAGAAGCCAAUCAAGUUGCACAGAAAUGGGAGAAGACAUCUAUUCUUGCUUCAUACCAUGACAGCCUUCAAAAAUCUGCAGAGGUAUAUUAUUGACAAUUCUCAAAGUGCUGAAUCAUAUUAGAACUUAUGCCAGUAGAGAAGUUGUGAUAGUAGUAAUAGUAGUAGUAGCAGUAAUUGUUAUCAAUAUGGCAACAAUAAUAAAAGAAUUUUAGUUAUACCACACUGUGUAUAAAUUUCACAUAGGAAAAUCUAGAUUUGCUAAGAGGUAAAACCCCAGGGAAGAGGAAAGGUACGACUCUUUGGUAUGAUUCUUCACGUCAAACAAGUGAGUAUUGUUAUGAAUAUUGUUGUAUUUUGAGUUGACUCAAGUUUAAGCAUUCUGGAAUUUCAAAACAUGGUUCUUUAUGCAAUAUGGGAUUGGAGUAGGAUAAUGGAAUAGGAAAAUGUGAUUCAAGGCUAUGAUUUCUAUAGCAUCCUGGAGCUUGAAUAAAAUGAUCCAUGGUGGUAUAGGAACAAAAUAUUAGAACUCAAACUUCUUUUUAUUUUAGAAGUCUUUUGAAUUUAGAAUCUUUAAAUUUUUGUGUUUGGGUAAUUUAUAACAUAUACUAUAUUAAUAUUAAUAGAUAUGCAUUUAAAAAUAAACAUAAAGCUAUUAAAAGUUACAUACUCAAAAGAGUUUUUACAGAUAGGAUUAUGGGAUCAAAGAAUUUGGUGACUUCUAUUGGACUUAACAAUUGCCAAAGAGCAAGGCAAGUUGAAGCCUGUUUUAGAUCCAUAGCUGAGUGCAACUAUGAAGGCAGGGGCAGAUCAAUGAUACUUUCAAAUGUCAGUCAGUACUUUAAAGAGUGGUAAUAGUAUACACACACACACACCAUAUGUAAAGUUUGGGGUUGUGUAGUUAAUACCAUGACUUGGAAGUUAUUGUCAAUGGGAGCUUGAUUAUUGCAUUUUAGGAUUGUUAAGAUUUAAGUCUCUCAUGUACUUUCUGCCUUGCUCAGAAAUGAUUCGGAAAUGAGAUAAAACUGAGCAUGAUCAUCUUAGCCACUUGAAUAAAAACUGAGUGACAAUAAAUUAUUAAUUGAUACCAAAUGUGAAUUUAUACUUAAAAACAUAAAAAAUAAGCAUCAUCCUAAUUUUAACACCUACAAAUAAUUACCUUUACAUUUUUUGUCCUUUAUACUCUAUACAAAUCUAUGCAUAUUAAAUAGAAACAAUAGCAUCUAGAGUAUUUUUAUGUCUUUUGAUUUUAAUGUUAUACUAAUAGUAUUUAUGCAUACCUUGUCACAAAGUAUUUUUGAAACUGAGUGGGUAUAUAAUAUUCUAUCAUUCAAAACUUAUUUAAGCAGUUCUUCAUUCAUACUUAGGUUAUUUCAAAUUUUCUCCUGUGUAGUAAUAAACAUCUAUGUGAUUAUACUAUUGUUUUUUAAAUUCUUUCAUUAGGGCUGAUUUUAUGAAUGAGACUUUUGAGUCCCAGGAUAAUCAUAAAAAACUCCUAAUUCAGAUUGGCAAAGUACUUUGCAAAUACUUGCUAUCAGCAUUGUUUCAAAAGACAUAUGCCUAUAUUCAAAGUAACAUUAAUUUAUCAUUUAAAAUAUUUUGUCAGAUCAAUAGAUUUUUUUUUACUUAAUGCUUUUUUAUUGCAAUUACUUGUUCCUAUUGGCACUGAAUUAUUAUAUACCUUUUUCUCUUGUGAUCAUUCAAAUUUGCCCAUUUUUCUAGGUAGAACUAGAAUUCUUAUUUUGCAAGAGCAUUUUGUUUACAAAACAUGCCAGCCUGUUGUCUUAUUGUUACAUUUUUCUACUUUGUUCAUUACUAUUACUUUUGAUUAUAGUGCUUUUUUGACAUUCAAAAUAUUUUUAAUUUUUAUGUGCUAGAGUUUCUUUUUUUUUUUUUUUUUCCUUUGCUUUGCUAUUCUGCAUUCCAAGAUUAGUUAAGUAGUCUCCUAGGGAUUUUUUCCUAGGUUUUUAUUGCCUUAACAUUUUCCCUUUUUUGUUUUCAAAAAAUAUUCUUAUUCAAUUUCCAGAUGCAUAGUCCCAUAUAUAAUUUUGCAUAAAUGAUAAAAUAUAUUUUUAUUCUAAAUACCGUUCUACUUAACUAUUUUUUUCCAUUUCUGCAUGUCUUCUUUCACUUUCUUCCUAUACUGCUCUAACUCUGCCCUCUUCAUAUGAAAGGUAACCUGUGUUACAAACAUGUUUCUUCCUUCUGCACUCAUAUAAUAUGUAUUCGUAUACAAACUAUAGACUUAUAUAUGUGGAUUUUAUCUACAUAUCCUUACUGGCACAUGCACACAUGUAUUCAUACAGAGGGAAUUCGGGGAAGUCAUUUUUUCUAAAAAUACAUGCUCAUAUUUCAUGAAAUUUUCACAUUGUCAGGAAUACUUUAAAUGGUUCUUCUGAUGGAUAUAUAAUUUCAUAGCUUAGGUGUAUCAUGAUUUAUUCAAUUACUCCCCUCUUGGUUGGAAUUUACUGUUUCCAAUUUUCUGCCACUAUGAUUAAUGCUACAAUUAUCUUUAUAUGUAUAUCUGAAACACUGAUGCUUUUGUUCUAAGGGAUAAAUUCCCAAAGGUGGCAUUAUUGGCUCCAAGAGCAUACAAACAUCUAAUUUGAAUAAGUAUUUCCAGACUGAUUUCACUUUUCACAUUUCAACAGCAAUUCAUGUGAAUGCAGUUUUUACCUUACAUCUAUGUCAGCAAUAGGUGUUGUAGUUCUUAUUUUUACCAGUUUAAUAGGCAUAGUGAUAUUUCAUUGUUUACUUAAUUACUAGUACCCAGAAUAUUAAUGAAUUCACUAUUAGUGAAUUUGGGCACGGUUUCAUAUUUCUAUUAACCAGUUAAAUUUUCUCUUCUGUGAAUGUGUGGAUAAUUUUUGCUCUUUUUUUUUGGUAAAUUUCUUGUAAAUUUGUUUGGAUUUUUUGUAUAUUUGAAUAAUUCAAUUUAUACAGUUUAUAUAUAUAUAUGUUUGUUAGAGACAAAUAUUUUGCCUGGAUUAUUAUAUACGUGUAAUAUCUUUGGUUUUUGAUUGAUACCUUUUCUUCAAAUGUAUCAAUCAAAAUAUUUUUUUAAAGUUAGAUUUUACUAGUUGUUAUUUAAAAGAUUAUUUGACUUAAUCCAUACAAAUUGAAGCUUUUAAUUGGUUUUUGAAUAGAUGCCAGCAAUAUGAGGAUGAAUAAUAAGAAAAUUCACAUGAAUAUUAGACUUAUUUAUACUUAUUUAUUUUUCAGUGACAAAAUUAGCAUAAACAAAAGUUAAUACAAUCAGUGCUUUCCUACAUGUAGUUUUAGAGUUUCAUUAACUCUGUUCUGUGGCAGCUUGAAGUUCUUAGCAAAUGGUGUAUUAAAGAUUACACAAGUUAUAUUUUAAAUAUCAGAAGAUAAACACAAAGAAUUCCAAUCAAUUUGCUUCCUUAAUGAGAUGGAUUGUUUUCUUCAUGUAGAGCUAAAUAAGACAAAGGAAUGAGCUUGAUUGACCUAUCUCCUUCAAUCAGUGUUUCAGAUAUACAUAUAAAGAUAUCUCACUGAAGAUGGAGAUACAAAUGAGUUUUCAGUGUAUUGAGACAGAAAAAUUGAGGAUCGUGCCCUAUGGAGUUUGACUUUUCAAGAUCAAAGUUUAGAAAGUGAAUCCAAAUUUAGUUGUUGCUUAAAUGGUCUUUGUAGAGAAUAGUAAAUUGAGAUAUGGAGCCAAAUUGAAUCUCCCAAUUACUAUAAUCUCUCAAUUACAACUAGGAAAGCUUAGACUAAGGGACAACAACCUAGGUGGAUUCUGAUGAUGUAGUACAAAUGCUGUUCCAGUUUUUAAUUCUCACCUUGUAUCCUUUUUCUUGGACAAACUGAGUUUAUUUAAGAGCUAGAAAAUACAUAUAAACUCUAUAAAAUAUAAAUCUCUCUUUUCUAUGAUGUCUUACAACCCACAAAGGUAUUUAGCACAUAGUAGGCUCAAGAAAUGUAUGUUGAAAUAGAAGUCUAAGAGUCUUCUAGUUUCUCCUUCAAUCUGGCCAUAGGGUUCCUUGCAUAUCCAGUUCAGCCUCUUUCUUUCCAUUCUUUUAGCUAAGCUUCUUCAGAAUGUAGGCUAGACUAGAGAAAUAACCAAUGUGUCUUGGUUGAUUAAAUCUAGCAAAGGAAGUCAUGGAUAAUAUUCUCUAAAGCAAUAAGAAUUAUUUAUUAUAUUACUGGUAGAUUGUUUCUAGAAAUAGAAGUUUUGAAAAUAUUCAAAGGUAAUGGAAGCACCAUUGGAAUAUUAUUUUCUAGUGGAUUGCAUAAGGAUUAGUAGAUUUUUAAAAAUAAAUAUUUUCAUAAGACAUCAAUUAGACUCUAAAAAGCUUUGAUGAUACAAGAAAAAUGCAAAGGAAGUGUUCUCUGACUUCAGUCUACUGGUAUGAGGCAAAAAGUCAUUAUUAGUGAUUGAAGUAGUAAAAUUUUAUAUUAUGAAUUCCGGAUUUAAUUUAUUGUUUGUAUGUUUUGUUUUAGUAGAUUCAAGACAGUCUCUUGAAUUAUUUUGACAAUGUGAAGUCAAAACAUGGUAGCAUAAGACUGAAAACUUCUGAAACAAGCAUUGUUUCUAGUAUUUUAAAGACAGGUGGGCAGGAAGUGAUUCUUAGCUGCAAGAUGUCAGUGUUAUAAUUAAUGACAGGGAAGUGUCUGUCCCCCCAAGUAGAGGCUUCCACAAGGAAGGGCAACAAUGUAUAUCCAGUGCCUAACACAGAGUAAUGUCAAAGAACUAGAGAAGUGCAGAGAAUUUUAACUGUAUUUUUCUAUAAAUCCUCCUGAUCUUAGUAUAAAAACAAAUCUUCCUGUGGAUACAAAAACAUGAUUUAAACUCAAUUUUGAGUUUUCUCAGAGCAUUUCUGCUUUAUACUUAAUAACUUUCCUACUUUCCUUCCAUACUUCUUUUUUCUCAGAGGGAACAAUUCCCUUGUGCAUUUAUAUUCUAACAUGGCAUCACAGUGGGAACAGAGACACAGUAUAAUGUACAUCUCUUUGUUGAGGACAGUGCCUGGAGGUACAUUAUAAGACUCAGUGAGUACCUAUAGAUUGAGUGACAUUAGGAGGGGUCAGGAGAGACAUCUAUGGAAGCAUCAUGGUCACCAGUCAGCAUUCACUAUGAGAUAAUUCCUGUUGGGACAUUUAAUUUCAGAUCUUUAGGAGUCAUAAUUUCUUUAUUUUGGUGUUCAAAGUGGUGAUCAUGUGUCUCCACCUGGUUUCUAAGUGUAAGGUGCUUCUCCUCCUCAUUUCAACCACAAAACUCCUUCACUUAAAACAAACAAAUAACCCCCAAAAAAACUCUGUUUAGUGGCUACAUGGGUAAAAAUAAGCAGCAAAAUGAACAUUUGUCUACUUCCUAUUCUUAUUGUAGUAUGGCAGGACCUUAUAAGGUUACCUAGGACUUUCUGCCUAGAUAUUCCGUUAUAACACUAUUUCUUUUAUUCCUCUGUGUCUUUUUGUUUGUUUUAGCUUUUUGGUACCAGGCAUUAAACCUAAGAGUGCUUAACCACUUAGCUACAUCCCCAGGCCUUUUUACUUUUUAGUUUAAGACAGGGUCUCACUAAGUUGCUUAGGGCCUCACUAAGUUCCUGAGGCUGGCCUUGAACUUGGGAUCCUCCUCCCUCAGCCUCCUGAGCUUCUGGGAUAAUAGGCAGAAGCCAGCAUUCCUGGCAGUCCUCUGCAUCUUAGCAUGAGGAAGCUGGACUGUAUAUAUCUGAUUGAAAAAAAAAUAUAUUCCAUCUUCUUGCAUAUUUUUAUAAAUCUUUUUAGUCUUCCAUCUGGAAUGUAGCUUUUGAACUUAAAAACUAGCAUAUGAUGUGUGUGAUUUCUGUUUCUUUGCCCCUGAAGGUUCUUGAGGCCUCCCAUACAGUAGCUCAAUGUAGAAUGGUCAACAUAAACAAGGACAUACAAAGAAAGUUCAUCAAUAUCUCACUCUAUUCUUCUGCAACAGAUGAAGAAAGAUUUGAUGUUUGAAAAUAGCAAAAAUGCUGUUACUUGGAUUUUAAUGUCUGGCUUACUUCAAGGAAAUUUGCUAUAAGGACAAGAACAUAGCAGAAAAACCUUAAUCAGGUUCUAAAAAGUAUAACUUAAUAAGUAAAAUGAAGUCUACAUUUCACCAAAAGUUUGAUUUUUAAAGAUACUUGUGAAAAAUGCAGCACAUCUUACCUCCCAACUCAGUAGUCCUUUGAUAUUUUUGACCCUGAGGUAGUGUUUCUAUGCCACUAAUUUUUCUGUAAAAUAAGUCAGAUAUGAUGGAGAAAUGAGGUUGGAAUUUUGUAACAUGCACUAUGACACUGCAUAAUAUUUAAGAUAAUUGUAAAUGACUGAUUUUCUAUUGUUGGGUUUUCAAAUGUUCAUGGAAUCUAGAAAUCUUCACAGAGGUGACAUCUUUAACACUUCUAUUAGAAGAGGAGUCAUAUCAUGUCACACUUUUGUCAAGUCUUUCAGCAUCUUCUCUCCCAGAGUUAGCCUAUGUUUUUUACAAUGGCCUGUAGAGCUAUACAAUUUGUGAUCUCAGUUAGUUCUCUGAUCUAAUCGUACUACUUUUCCCCUACUUUUGUCCAGCUUCCCUAGCUUCUCUGCCCCUCAAACACAUGAAGCCCUACACCUUUGUAUUUGCUUCUUCCUUCCCUGAAAUACUAUUCCUGCAGAUAUCUGCAUGUGGCAAGGGCAUCAUCUUUUUCAAAAGUUUAAUGGAAUCUUCUUAGUGAUUCUUACCCCAUCCUGUUUAAAAUACCUGCCUCACUUGCCUAGCACCUAGCACUGCCAUUACUGUUCAUUACUGUUUCUUGCUUUUAUUUUUUUUUAAGCUUCUUGCUUUGAUUUUGUUCACAGGACUUAAUGCCUUAUGAAAGAAACAUUAUGGCCUACUGGGUAGGAGUAAGGACUCAUGAAUCAGAGCAUUUGGGCUUGAAUUCAGUCUCCCUCACUUGGUUGUGUGACUUUGGGGAAAUUACUUAACACCUCUAGAUCUGUUUCUUCCUCUAAAAUGGCAUUCUCACAAGGAUUAAAUGUCUGAUUUCCCUUUUAGUAGAAAGUAAAUUUUAUGAUGCCAAGAAUUUUUGUUUACUUUGUUUAUUACUUUUUCUCAAGCAUAUAGAAUAUUUUCCCAUCUUGUCACUUGCUUGUUGAGAAAUUCAGUUAUGGUAUUUUGUUUUAUAGCAUUUUUUUCUCCUAAAAACAAAGCUACUAAAGGAAACUCUAGCUUUUUAGUUUCUGAAUUUUCCAUGAGACUUAGAUAUAUUUUUAGAAUAUUUAGAUAAUCCAAGUGACUGUUAAUAGAAUGACUCAUUCAUCCAUUAAUUCUUUCAUUUAAAUAUUUAUUGCUUAAGAUACUAUAUUUUGUUAGGCUCUGUGCGAGAUACACUUGUCAGGAGACAAACAAUUAAAGAUAUAUUUUCUCAUUGACCCUGACUUCAAGGAGUUUGUUGCUCAGUUGAGUAUCUGAAUUUUUCUAUUUCUAUAUAAUAUUUCUAUUCAGAAUGGGAACCUAAUUAGAAUAAGUUAAACUCCAUGUAUGUAUGUCAAAAGACCCUCUAUUGUCAUGUAUAUCUAAAAAGAACAAAUGAAAAAAAUUUAAAAAGAUGAGUUCAGGGAAAUGGUAACAGAAGUUAAAUAAGUUAUUCAAUCACUCUGUACAUCAAUACAGCAGGAAUACUAGUCAUAGCUACCUCAAAGGGCUUCAAACUCAUUAAAUGAGUUAUAAAUGUGCUUAACAUAGUACCUGGCAUAUUCAGUAAUUGUUAUCUGCUAUUUAUAAUUACCUUGAAUAAUAGAUGGAGUGUGAAGAAUGGGUAAGUCAGAGAAAUGAUAAAGCAUGGGAUAUAUACAAGGAAUAACAACCAGUUUUAUUUGAAUGGAGUAGGAUGCAUAAAAAUAGGUAGGGAAAGUAGGAAAGGUCAACCAUAUAAUUCUAUCAUUCUGAAGUAAACAUGGUAAAUAUUUUGAUAUAUUUUCUUCUUUUCUAUAUGAUAUAAAUUUAAGUAAGCAAUUGCUUAUUAUACAAUUAAGGUUAGAAGUACAGAUAGUAAUAGCAAACAUCUAGAUGGGACUAUUUAAAUCUAGACACUCUUCGAAGUGUUUUUCAUGCAUUAAUCCCUAUUGCUUUCCCUCUAGCUCUUCCUGAUCUCUUAUUUCUUCUAAGGUUGGUUAAAAAAAGAAAAAAGAAAAAAUGUGAAAAACUUUCUCAAUUUACUCUGAAAUGCUCCCAAGACAAUUUGGGUCCCUAGAUAUAAAAUAAUUCUGGUAUGACACCUCACAGCUGGUCAUUUGUCAGUAUUUUUCUAGGAGCCUACUUCUGAUAUGAGUACAGCUGGUUUGGUUUAUCUCUAUUUCUGUAAUUGGAGUUAACUCUUGGAGUAAUAAAUUCUUCAUAGCAGUUCUAUUAAAACGGGAAAAGGAAUAGCUGACUGGAUUAGAAAUAUAGAGAUUUUUAGGAUGAUGUUUAAAUUAUUCUAAUGUUUUUUUUUUGUCCUUUAAUUAAUUUAAACCUUUAUUUGAUAGCAUGGUCUUGCCAUAUUACCAUUUCCCAAGGAGGUGAAGGAAAACACCUUUUGCCUUCUUCUUCUAUACCUACACACGUAUCCAUGUGAAGGUUCUUAAAACAAGGGAGUGAUAAAUGUCAACUUUCUUGUUCAAUCCUGUAAUCUACUAAAAAGGGGGUUAUUGCUAGAGUUUCUAAGGUUGGGAUUAGGGGUAUUUAACCCAUAAGUGAGCUUUAAGAUAUUCAUAUUUCCAGAGUUUCUAAAAUAAGAAAAAUUUCCUAUAAUUUUCUGCCCUAUGGAGGAACAUUUAUAUCCUCAGACCCCUUAGUAAGGGAUUUUGUUCUUUAAAUGAGAAUAAGAUCUUUAGUUUAAAAAGUUUGUACUUUUUCAUAGUAUAGUUUAUAAUGAUUGUUAUUUUCUAGCUUAUUCACUGAACCCAUCUUUGUGAAGAUAGCUUUAUUUCUUCAUUAACAUAUUCCACCCAUAUUUAUUGAGUAUUUAUUAUAAACCAGGGAUUAGACAUACAUCAACAAACACCAAAAAUUUCUCCUGUCAUGGACCUUGUAUUCUAAUGGAGGAGAAAAACAGGUAAUUAUUAAAAUUAAGUGAAGUAUAUGCUAUACUAGUAUGGGACUGCUAUGGGAAAAUAGAUCUGGUUGAAGACUAUUAAUAGUCCUAUUUGCAGGAGAUUAUGAUUUUAAUGGGGUGAUUAGGAUAGUCUUUAAUGAUGAGUUGACAUCUGAGCCAAAUUUGAAGGCUAUGAAGGAAUUUUCCAUGAGAUUAUCUUGGGGAGAGACCAUUCUAGGUGGAAUGAUUAGCUAGUGUGAAGAUCCCAAAGUGGGAACAUACUUAGUAUAUUCAAGAAAUAAUGGGGCAGGAAUGUUCAAAUGCAGUUGAAUUAAUAAAAGGAAGAAAAGUAGGUGUGGUCAUACAGAUAACCAGUCAGAUUGUGUAUAGCAUUAGAGGCUUCUGCUCUGAGAUAAAUAGGAUACCACUGGGAGAUUUUUGAAUAUAAGAAAGAGUUGAUCUUGGUUUCCAAAAAGGCAUACAGAAUCUCCUGAUUUUAGAAGUUAGAAAUAUUUCAUUUUUGCCUGGAUCUGCUUCACUUAUUAAUUUCUAGAGGCUUCUUUACUGUAGCAUUAAAUUUAGUGUGAAUUGAGGUUAACAGGAAGAACAAUGGGAUCCUUGUUUUGGAUCCUAUGGAGUCCCUGUAGUGUUCCUGUCAAUGAUUAUUUUUUUCUCUUGAAAUAAAAUCAGAUGGAUUUUCAAAAUAAAGCUUUGAUAUGGUUUUAAUAGUAUGUAGCUUAAAAAGACCCAGAGGUUUUAUCUUGAAAGAAAGUGACAUUUACCUGUUUGUAUUCAGCCUGGGAAAAGCUUAUGUAUAAAUUUUGCCUUCUAGUUCUUGAACUAUAUUCUCAGGUGGCUGGAGGAAAGGGAUCUGUUUUGUUACUCCUCAGCAUAUAUGUGAUUAAAUGCUAGCUGCUCAACUUAAACUCUGGUUUAUAUGAUGUUUGGAAAAUAUAAAUCGGUACCUUUACAUUACUCCCACACCACAGAAGAUUUUAACCUGUAAUAUAUUGUUUAUAUCAUAGGAUGACAGCAGCAGGGUACUCAUAGAACUAUUCUGUGUUAUGUUGGUGAUGGUGAUAUCUUGAAAUAAGAUGACAUUUAACCAAGAGUCUUUAUUUUAAGAAUACAACCAAUAAAUGGCUUGUUUUAAAACACUUUAAAAGAAGUAUCUAAUUCGAGUUUUGAUUUUUGUUGUUGUAGUUUCUUAGGUGUUUUUCUGAGCUAUAAAUGAUUUAUCUCUGUUCUAUACUGUUUUAUACUGAGGCACAUAUCACUCUCCUCCUAUUUAGCAAUGCAGUAUUACCUGAUUUUAGCUCCCAAUUAUGGUUAACUUUCUGCCUAACUUUUCUUUUUCUUGUGUACAUGAGUGUGUGUGUAUAAGAAAUGGACACAGUAUCCUCCCCAUUUUGACUUUAAGAACUUGUAUAUGUGUAUUUUUUUUCACAGAACUUGAGGUGCUAAGCUGAAUGCUACAAUUCUAACUUGCUUAACAGAGAGAAAGAAUUUUUAUAUUACUGAACAAUUACUGAUCAGGGUUAUAGUGUUUCAGUAACAGCACUGGGCCUAUAGGAGGCAGGUUGGAAUAGCAGAAUGAUCAAGAGUCAUUUUAAGAGCCCUGUGUUUGAAUUUUGCCUUUUGCUAGUGAUGUGGCCAUGAAUAAAUUAUUUAACCUCUUUGAACUUAAAUUCUUUUAUUUAUAAAAUGUUAAAAUAAUAAUAAUACCUACUCAUAAGGUUACUGUGAAGAAUGAAUAAAACAUAAGGCAUAUGAAGUAUUUAGUGGAAUCCCUGUACUUAGUAAACACUCAAUGAAUAGAAGCUGUGUUGAUAAUGAAUUUAUGGAGAAUUAUUUCAUAUCUCUUAGUCUCAUUUUCUUUGUCAAUAAAUGGAAAUUAAAAACUAUAUGUUUGGGUGAGUCAAAUGAAAGUAUGCAUGUAAGAAAGUUUUGAAAAAUAAAUUCUAUAACACUACUUUAUAUUAAAAUUUAUGAUAAAACAGGACUUUUAAAAAAAAUCCAUUAUUCUCCUCUGGGUAUUCAGACAAAAGAACGAGCAAGAGAGAGCAUUUUGUGAAGAAAAAAGCAUUAUGUGAAUAUAAAAUAAUGUUAUCAUCAUUACUAUACCAUGUAAAAUAUCUUCUCAUUUACUAUUGCUGUUACUUGAAAUUCUUUCCAUGGAUAUAUUGGUAGGGUUAGAGAAUACAAAGAGAGUUAGGAUAAUUCUUACUAAAAUGUGCAUAGUUCUUAGGGUAAUAUAAUAUUAAUGUCAGUAGCUUUGAAUUAGUUUGUCAGAGUUCCAUUUUGACAUUUAAAUAAGAACAGUGCUUUUUAAUUUUUUAAUUUUUGGCUUGUUAUUUGAGAGAGUAGGAGGAAAAGAAUAAUUACUUGGUAUGGAUUAAGCACAGUGUUUGGGGGACCUAGGUAAUGUAGAAGGGCACUAAAUGCUGAUAAAUUGGAGUUGGAAGAGGUAUGAGUAGAGAGAAGAGGCAUGACCAGAAUAAGGGAACUUACAAAAGUGAAAGUUCUCACACAUAAGCUUUAUCUUCUAGGAAAAUUAUUUUAUAUGGUUAUUCCACCCUGGCAAGGGUACACAAAUCCAUUCUUAAAAGGUAUAGUUGAUUUCUUCCCUUCUGUUCCCUUUCUUUCCCCUCUUCUUUCUUCUUUCUGCUUGGGUUAUCACUUACUGAAUAUCUGCUAUUUGUAUUCAUUUUUAUGUAGAUCCUUUAAGCUGCCACCCACCUUUGUACACAUUGGUCACUGUGCAAAAGUGGGCCUUAGGAAUGUGUUUUUCUUUCACAGCUUCAAUUCUGUUUUGCUCUCUUUAGAUCACUUUUAGCCCAUUCUUUCUUGUUUCCAGUUUUCUAGUUCUUUACCUGGAUCCUAGUUACUCUUCUUCUUUGGACUUGGUUUUGUUUUUGCUAUCAGUUAAAAAGAUAAGGAAGAACAAGGCUCUUCAUUUGAUCUUAUACUUUUGGAGAGAACUAAAUCGUAUGUAUAGACCAUUUUAUAGUUCAAAUAAAGCACUUAUUUUCCUUGAUUCUCUUAAUGGCUAGUAAAGGAGAUAAUGCUGAUUUCACUAUCCAUAUUAAGCAUUAGAAAGUUGAGUGUAGUAACUUGUUGGGAUCACAUUGUUAGAAACUGGUAGAGUUAGAAAUCUGAUUUCAAGCUAAUAAUUCUCCUACUAGCUAUAAGAAAGAAAAGGAUUAUUUUCACUAGGAUAUAGGAAAUGCUUUCAUAGCUAGGUGGUUUUAGAACUUGCUUUGUGUGAUGCUUAAGAUUUAGGUUGAAGAGACAGGUAUUCCAGGUAGAGGAAACUGCAUGACCAAAGGAUUGAAAGAAUUAUAAAAGCCUGAUUCUUGAUUAGUUAUUUUUCAUGUAUUAUCUUCUAAUCUCUAUGACAAUUCAGUGAAGUUGGUAUUUCAUUGUUUGAUUACUAAUCUUGUUUUAAAUAGGAUUUGAGUUAGUAUGUAAAGAUUAUUAUUCUGAUUUUCAGAAGGCAAAACUUGAGAAGUUAAAUGACUGGAUCAAGGACACAUAGUGAAACAUGAUAUAGUCGGGAACAUAGGCUUGAUGAUAUUCCAUGACCUUUCCUAGAAGAAUGUGGCAAAGUGAAGCAGAGAUAGUAAGACUAACUACGUGAUUCUAGCUGUCUGCCUGACCGCUUUGAUUUUAAUAAUCCCAUAGAAUUCAUGCUGUCUUCUUUAGGCAGUCGUGAGCAUCAGAAAGUUUUUGUACAAGGAUAUGGUCUUAUCUUUUCUGGUGAAGAAGAUUAAACUGGCAGUAUCAUGCGUGAUAGAUCAGAGACAGGAGAGACUGGUGGCAGGGAAAACUGUUAAAUAGCUGUCACAACAGGAAAUGUUUAACUAGGUACUUGGAGAACUAUGUAUUACUUGAGGAUAACAAAUGGUGGAAUUUUCUUUACAAAAGUAUCAUUACUUAUUUGUAGUAACUCAACUUAUAAAGAAGAAAACAUGUUAGAUUUAGAAAAUGCACUCAACCAACUUAUAAAAGAAAGGAAAAUCCUGAUUGCAGGUUUAUGUAGAAGCAUGGAACUAAUUCACAGAGCUGGUGUUUACUUUGGUGAGGCUGAAGUUAGCUAGGCAUUUACUAUGAGUAAUUUAGAAUAAGAUUUUUCUUUGGAGUAUUCAAGAUAGACUUCCAAUGAUAUGCUCUAAAAUAGAGUAUGUUAGCUUUCUGCAUAAUAUCAUUAAAAUGUGAUGAAAUUGGACUACAUUCAUACCUUAUUAGAAACCCAAGACUUCAAAGAAUAGAUGACUAGGAUGGUGUAAAGAUGCUUAACUGUAAAAUCACACAAAUAUUAAUAACUUUUAAAUGUCUUUAUGCUUUGGCUUCCUUUCCAUUUGCAGUGACAUGUUUAAUUCAUGCAUUUGUAGAAUCUUUCUGUGUAUUUGGUAACAGGCUUCUAUCUCACCUUCUUAAUAUAGUCAUUCCUCUUCUAACUGAACUUCCCUGCCAAUGAUGCAUGCCUGUAAUCUCAGCUUCUCAGUAGGCUGAAGCAGGAGGAGCAUAAAUUAAAGACUAGACUUAGCAAUUUAAUGAGAACCUGCCUCAAAAUAUAGAAUAAAAAGGGCUGGCAAAGGUCCCCUGGGUUCAAUUCCCAGUACUAUUAAAUCCUAACUCAAUCUCUCCAAUUUAAUAACCUUUAACAAUAAGUAAAAACCACCCAUUGACCCUCAUUGUUUACCAAGUGUCAUAGGUCCACCUUCUUCUCAUAGCCUUCACAUAGUGUGCAGUGAGCUUACAUGAAGACUUACUUAAGCCUUGAUCUUGUUAUUUAUUCUGUCUGGAACAUUCUUUCCUUUAUUUCUCAUUGAAUCUCUUAAAAUUCUACUUGUCUAUCACCAGUUUUCUAAUGAUCUCAAGUAGAAAAAGUUCUUCUUUCUGUGCUGCUGAAGGACUCUGUUACAAUGUUCAUCACUUUGUUUUAGAACAAGUUGCUCAAGUGUUUUACCUGUUAGAUCACAAGAGUCUUGAUGCCAGGUAUUAUAUUUAUUCAUAGAACUAUAAUAUGGGUUCAGAGCUUGUUAGGCAGUAAGUAUUCAGCAAAUGUUUAUGGAGUAGUUGAUUAACUGUAUGUUUCUUGAUGUUAGAGAAUGAUACAAUGCUUUAUUAAAUAUACUAAUUAUGUAUUUUAUUAGGGACAUUCCUUAAAAUUUCUGGGUUGGCCCAGAGAACAAACGCCUAGUUCUAGGUAAGAUUCUGAAAGAGGUUGUUGAAAGUAUAGGAAUGAGUCAUGGUGGUCCACAGCUCACUAUAAUUAUCACUGAAAGUACUUAUUACAUGAAAGAAUGUGGGAUGGUUGUGAGCUAAAAUGAUGUCAUGUAGUUCCACACCCUUCUCUGCAUAUAGAAGCUUAGCAGCAGAUUGUAUUACUACAGUCAGAUGUGUCAGAGGUUUUCAAAGACUGCGUCAUUCACAGUGUUGGAAAGAAUGGUUAGGUUGCAGUGACAGUCUUUUUUGUUGCAGGCUUGACUUGAGUUGAUUGCUUCCCCAUUUUAAUAAUUCAGAUUUUUUAAAAGUCAAAUUUAAUAAUUUUUUUCAAAGUUGCAAUUACAUUUCUCAUUUAAUAAGCAGAACAUCAGAACAAAAAUGAUAGAGAAGGGUCUGUACUCCCAAUAUUAAAUCCUACAGAGAAAGAAGACUGUUUUAUAUAGAAUUAAUAUAUCUUUAAAAAUACUCUGAUCGAGGGAAUAAAUUUGUUCAGGUGGUAGAAUUAUCAAUAACUUGCUAAUCAAAAUGUAACAGUGAAAAAAAAUGUUUCAAAAUAUUUGUACACUGGAAAGUUGAUAUAAUGUUCUCUUAAUAGUGCUGCAGUGGUCUAAGGAAGUCUCCCUGCCUUAGAUCCUGCCCAUGGAGAAUUUUAUGUGGAAAACUAAAAGGAACUGAUAUUAUUAUUAAAAACUGUGCUGUCUUUGCCUGGAAUCAGCAUAGCAUUAUUUUUCUCCCUCAUGGAGCUUAGCACUUUUUACAUCAUGUAAUAGUUACCAGGAACAGGCGAGAAUUCCUCUACAAGAGUUUAGAGUCAGGACCUGUGCCCUAUGUAUACUGUUUGUAUCCAUUAGGCACUAGCCUAGAUUCCUGCAUAUAGUAAUUACUCAGUUAAUAUUUAUUGGAUAAAUGGGGAGAUUAUAUUAUUAUCUAAAGUGGCCAUUGUUUUCAAAUUAUAUGAAAGUAUGGAAACAAGGCAGAAUAAUUAAAAUUUAGGGUAUUUCUGAAAGUUCCAGAUACAUGAUUAUUCAACUCAUAACACUAGGAACAGAAUAAAAUAGUAGUUUCAGGGUAUUUUGGAGGUUAGAGAAUAUAAAUUGAUGCAUUUUUAAGUUUUUUAAUAAAAUUUUCACAGAUAAUACAAUUCUGAAUUAUAAUUUACUAUUUUAGCAAAUACCAUUGAUUUACAUGUUUGCAUCUGUGAUUGAAAGAUAAGUAAUAUAAUAAUAUGGCCUACCUGUUACCUAUUUAGGAGAGAGUUGUUUUACUUUAAAUUUCUUGUGAUUAUCUUCCACAGCCUCAUGCAAAAUGAAUCAAUUAAUAUAGUGCCAGAUUAUGUUACUAUGAUAAAGCUAUGGAAUCCUAUUUCCCUAGCAGGGAAAUCUAAGAAGUUCUCUUUUAUAGAGUCUACAAGGGUUUACUCUACAAGUUGUAAAUCCAAAGAAAUGAAUAACUUUAUUCAUUGUUUAAACUAAUUUCUUAAAAAUGACAUGAAACAUAAAAUCUAUUUUAUGAGAUUCUUUACAGUACUCUGAUGGUUAAUUUUAUGUGUAAAUUUGGCUAGGCCAUAAUACUCAGUUAUUUAAUCAAAGAAUAAUUUAAAUGUUGCUGUAAAGUUAUGUUGUAGAUAUGAAGGACAUUUGCAAUCAGAUUAUUUUAAGUAAAUUAUACGGUUUAAUAUGUAGAUGGGCUUCAUACAAUCACUUGAAGACCUUAAGAGCAAAAACAAAUAUGCUCUUAAAAAGAGAAGGAAUUCUGCCUCAAGACUGCAACACCUGCAGAUUUCAAAGUAGCAGUUCUUCACAACUACAUGAGCUAAUUCCUUAAGGUCUAUCUAUUUAUGUAUCUACCUAUGUAUUUAUCUUAUCUACUGAUGAUCCAUCUAUCCAUUCAUCUUUUUUUUUAAAGAGACAGAAAGAGAGAGAGAGGGAGAGAGAAUUUUUUUUAAUAUUUAUUUUUUAGUUUUCAGCGGACACAACAUCUUUGUUUGUAUGUGGUGCUGAGGAUUGAACCCAGGCCACACACAUGCCAGGCGAGCGCGUUGCAGCAUGAGCGACAUCCCCAGCCCCUCCAUUCAUCUUUAAGUACUGCUAGUUCUUUUUAUCUAGGUAAUACUGCCUAAUAUAAAUACUAACACAUUUAAGUAAAAACUAAUACUUACAGAGCACUUAUAUCCCAGGACACCGUCAAAGGCAUUUUAUGUAUAAAUCCUGUAAUUCUGAUAACAGUCAUAACAGGUGUUAUCAUUACUCCAUUUUAGAGAUGAGUAAACUAGAAUUACAGAAAGUUUAAAUGAUUUUCCCAGGGUCAUACAGCUAGUAAGUGCUGCAUACUUCUUAAAAUGAUAGAUUAUUUCUCUAGACACAAAUCACAAAUCAAAAUAGAGCAAGAGCAGAACUUCAUUUAAUUCUUUAUAUUCUUUGUGAUCAAUUUGGGGUUGGAAUUGGUACCAUUAUUCUUUUUAUUGGCUUAAUAUUAACACUAGUAUGGGCAGUUAACAUUACUGAACAUUUGAUGGUGCUAAGACCUUUACUUACAUUGUCUCAUUGAUUUAUUUCAAUUGCAUUGUGAAGUUGGUCCUGAGAACUACCAUAAUUUUUAAUGAAACAGAAGAUUAAGAAUUAAGGCUUCAUUUUUUCCUCUGGCUCUUAACCUCUCUGCCUCUUGGAUUACUAUAGAAUCCUAAGAAUUUUCAGAAAAUCUUAUUGUUUAUCUUCUAAAGAGUUAUCCAAUAUAGGAUGUCUUAUUUAGAAUACUACUUAAUUUUCCUCCAGGGUCAUUUAGAGUCUCACCAUUGCAAAGGGCCAACCACAUCAGGCCAGGAUAGUGUUGUCUGGUGAGUGAAGGCUCAGGCCAGACAUUUUUUGAGGCAGUCUGAAGUUGAAAGAGUAUUGGGGUAGAUUGAAGCUGGAGUCUACAAAGGGUAACCAUGAAAAUCAUAUGGUAGGGUAAGAAGAUGCAAAUAAUAAUUCUAACAAAGAAGCAGUAGACUUAUCAGCAAAAUGAAUUGGGCAAGAUCUAGGUUGAAGUAGAUACUUGCUUGUGAUAUAUUAACAAGGUAGGAGCUAUAUAGUUAGAAUCUCAGGCAACUUUAAAAGUUAGGACUGAGAUAUAGAGUUAACUAUUUCCAUUAUGACAAUAUCCUAGUUAUUGGGAAGUUCUCUUGUAGAUGGAAUUAAAGCACAUGCUUUCUUAAAAUUAGACCCAUUAGUUGUAAUUCUAAAAAACAAGACAAAUAUACUUUAUUUUCCAUCAGUUUAAAAACCACCAAUUAUUCUUUUGUUCUUUUCCCAACUUUUUAAAACCAAGUAUUUAUCUGAUAUAGACAUCACAGAGAGCUUUUCAAGAGGCUUUAGCAGUUCCAAUUUUGUGUUAUUUUAAACAUUAAGUGAGAAAAUUUUGUGACAAAGAGUAAAGUAUUUAUCCUCAUUGUAAUGGCACUAUCUGAAAUAAAAUCAUUGAGGUGGAGUUUUCUGAAAAAGGGAUGAUAGCAAUUUUGCCAGGUUUUAUUAUAGCCAAGAAAUAUAGAACAAACUGUCAGGCUUUGCUCAUGGAGAACAUGUCAGUAAAAACAAAAAAUGCUCUGAGGGGCCAGAGCCAAAUCUAUACUCUUAGAAAAAUUUGGGGGUUAAAUAAAAUAAUACAAAUGAAACACUUGAACAUUGUUUAUCAGUAAACUUUCAAUAAAUGAAAGUCUUUAAAUACACAGAACAAUUGCUCUUAGAAGCCACAGUCCUAAGGAGUGAGAUCUGAUAGCUUGAUAAUAAAGGAAAGCAGGAAAAAAUUGAGAGAGACAGAGAGAGAGAGAGAGAGAGAGAGAGAGAGAGAGAGAGAGAGAGAGAACAACAAACAUACAAAAAGCACUGCAGUCUGACACCAUUUUGCGUGGGGUUGUCUAAAGCAAUUAUUCUAUUGUAGAAUAGAGAAAUAGUGUUCUAAGAAAUUAAAAUUAUUGUGUAAGUAUGCUUUCCUCAAGAAAGGCAAUGUGUACUUUAAAAAAACUUCCACACAAACUAAAAAUGGGAAUUUUAUUUUAAAGAAUUGUACCCUAAGAUACAUAGAAAAGUUAUCUUUAAAAAAAUGACUUAUUCCACAUGGUUUCAAAUAGAUAGGUAUUUGUUUGGCUUGGGCUAACAUUGGUUUUAUGUCAGAUUAUUCAGCAACACUACUUCACACACACAUUGAUUAAAUGCCUUGCACCAUGGUCUCUGUUGGUUGUUCUGGGAAGUAUAGAAAUAACACUAGUUCCCUCCCUGAAAGAAGUCACAAUUUAGAAAAAGACAUGGCUACAUAUUGAAGUAUCUUUAUAUCAAAUCUGUCUUGUCCAGUUUGGGCUGCUCUAAUAGAAUACCAUAGAUUGGUUAACCAUAAGAUGGUUUAAACAACAAACACUUAUUUCUCACAGCUUUAGAGGAUGGAAGUAUUAUAUCAGGGUGGUAGCAUGUCUGGGUUCUUGGUGAAGUCCCUCUUCCUGGUUUAUAGGUGGCUGUCUUCCUUAUCUUCACAAAGCAGGGAGUAGAGAAUGAGAAAACAAGUUUUAUUUGUGUCUUUUUAUAAUGAAAACUAAUACCAUUCAUGAAAGUUCCAUUGUUAGGAAAUAAUUACCUCCAAAAGUAACUUCUUGUGAAAAGCCCCUGAAGCAAAUUCUGAUUUUGAGAGGAAAAGAUAUCCUAUUACCAACUGGAAGUUAGGAUCUCAAGAUAUGUCUAAGGCAAAAUGCCAAUAUAAAGAUGGAUGCAGAACUUCAUGGGAGUAGAGCAAAGAUAUACUGAAUAUGAACUAUAUGACUUCUGCUAAAGGAAAUCCUGAAAAAAAUGUAAUUUCCUAUUACUUACUCUCUAGAAUAUAUAGUGCAACACUAAAUAGCUUUGAUUUCUGACAUUUUGUUGGAAUUUGUAAAAUGACUCCCUGUGAAGCAAAUAUAUUUGUUCAUCAGAGUUGACUAAUUCUAAGAAAGAAAGAAAAGUGGGCAUAAAAACACUCAAGUAAUCAUGUCUUCACUCAUUGAACAUGUUUAUUGAACAUUCAGUGAGCACAUCAUUCAGUGGGGUCAUAACAGAUAUGCCUUAUGUAAUAUAAUGAUGUCUGUCACAGAAUAGAAAGUAAAAAGGUUUGCAUGGUAGGAAAGAGAGGGCUUCUUAGAAUAGAAAUGUUGGGAAACUCUUGAAGAAUGAUGCAACAGGAGUAAAUAGAGUAAGGGGAGAGCCUAGCUGUCAAGAGUGGUGUUUUCAGCCACAUCAAUGUUUAUAGCAGCACAAUUCACAAUAGCUAAACUGUGGAGCCAACCUAGAUGUCCCUCAGUGGAUGAAUGGAUAAAAAAAAAUGUGGCAUUUAUUCACAAAGGAAUAUUAUGCAACACUAAAACAGGAACAAAAUCAUGGCAUUUGCAGGUAAAUGGAUAGUGUUGGAGAAGAUAAUGCGAAGUGAAGUUAGCCAAUCCCCAAAAAACAAAUGCUGAAUUUUUUCUCUGAUAUAUAGGGGAGUGACUCAUAGUGGGGUAGGGAAGAAGAGCAUGGGGAAAUUAGAUUAAUUCUAGAUAAGGAAGAGGGGUGGGAGGGAAAGGGAAGGGGAAGGGGAUUAACAAGGAUGGUGAAAUGUGAUGGUCAUCCUUAUACAAAAUACAUGUAUGAAGAUUUGAAUUUGGGGCCAACAUACCUUAUAUACAAACAGAGAUAUGAAAAAUUGUGGUAUAUAUGUGUAUUAAGAAUUAUGAUACAAAAAGAGUACAUGUAUAAUGUCAUAAGUUGGCGUUAACAUACUAUAUAUACAGAGAUAUGAAAAAUUGUGCUCUAUAUGUGUAAUAAGGAUUGUAAUGCAAAAAAAAAGAUAGCAUUUUGGGGGAGAGGCUGGCAUUGGAAGCCCACUAGGAUGACUUGGGAGUCCCAACAAAUCCAAGAGAACUUCAGUGACCUGUAAUAAAAGGAUUCCUUGACCUCAGUAGUUUUUGUGUAAAAAAAUUAAAUCCUUCCCUGAAGAUUGAUAUAAUCCCAAGUAAAUAAGCAAAUCCAUCAUCCUAUAUCCUUGUGGAAAAAAAGAGUGGUGUUUUCAAAACAUGGCAUUUGAAAAUGAAUGUGUGUGUGUGUGUGUGUGUAUGAGAAAUUUAUGUGAUCGCCAAGCAUUUAGAUAGUAGAAAGAUGGAAAGAUUUUAAGCACAAAUUAAGGCAGAAGUUCAUUGUCAAUAACUGAAAUGUUGAGAAACUAUAUCCAUGAUGUCUAAUAGAACGCAAAUUUCCUUAUGAAAAGCCCUUGGGGAAAAUACUGAUUUUGAGGGGAAGAUAUCUAAAUACCCUAAAGUCUGAGAAGGACCUACAUUCCUGGGGCCCUUGAUUGAUUCCAUGUGGAUAUAGCAUUAUCACCUUGGCUUUUUUUUUUUUUUUAGAUACAGUAGUAUUCUAUCAACAAUAAUAAUGCUUAGUAUAGGUUUGCUGACUAGUGGUGUAGCAAAGCUCAGUAUUAAUCACUUUCAAAUGAAAAUGUACCUAAUGAUAAACUAUGGCUGUCAUCCUAAACACAUCUUGAGUUGAUUGGCUACCUAUUGUGGUACCUGCCACAUCUUGAAAAUUCUCUGAAUGAAAGAGGAUGUACAAAGGAAAGGAACAGGAAAAUAGAUAGUUAUUAGCUGGGUUUUGGCUCCAGGCUCCCUUUUGAUUGACUGAGAUGAGUAGUACCAUGUAGAGUUUGGAGGUCUUGCCUUGCUUAUAACUAGGCUUGAGAUCUACAUAAAAGUUGAACUACCUUCUUUGUGCCUUUGUUUUAGGGCUUUAUAUUUGUCUUAGCCCUUGAAAUAUUACUGUUUUGCUGGUAAUAUAGAAAAGUUGAAUCUAAGGGAAAAGAUACCAAAAGAAAUUAUUAUCUAUGAGGUCUAGAAUGUCAAGCUUAAGCAGGACAUUUGUAUCUCCUUUCCACUGAGUUAUAAUACUGGUUUCUGCUUGGUUUCUAUGAGCCAGGGGGAGGAAGAGGAUAUUCUUCUCAAAAAGUGGAGAUUAUAAGCUUUUCUUACUGAACUGAAUAUGUGAGAAAAAAGACUGUAAUACAGUAAAUCCCCCAAAAGGGAAAAUUUCAAGGGAGACUAUAAAUUUUUUAAAAAUCCAUCAUUUGGGUCUACUUUGCUUGAACAAAAUAGGUACUCGAUAAAUGUCAGUUCCCUGUAUUCAGCUCUGAGGGCGUAAGCUUGAGCCUCCUCUGACCCCUUCAUGAUCCUAAAGAUCUUCCAUUUCAUAUUAACUUGGCCUUUUUUUGAUGUUUCCAUAAAAUAAGGCCUUUGAAUGGAGCACACUUGUCUAUGAAAGAAGUGUUUGGGGAACAGAGUAUGGCAGGAAAAACAACAACAAUUUUUUUUUUUUUUAAAUUUAAAAAAUAACAACAGAAAAUCAGCCUCCUACAUCUUUGUUUCCCUCCCCUAACAUGGGCCAUGUGAAGUGGGGUGGGUGUGGGUCUAAAGCAGAGAGAUUGCCAAUUCCUAUCCUCUGGUUUUGUCCCAUUUAGAUAUAAUUGAAACAAAAAAGUAAUGGUAUCACUGUACUUAAUGGUGAUCAGAUGUAGUACUUCCUUUUGGAACCCUUAGGAAGAAUACAGACAAAAUAAAGGGCAUCCAAAGGAGGGUGAACAGAUGACCAAGAAACACAAAACCAUGCCCAUCUCUUGCACAGAAAUGAGUGUGUUGAAAACAAAAAAUUCUAAAAUUUUAUUUAUCUUGGUUUAUGCUUAUCUGGCAGAGUGCCUGGUAUAUUGUAAGAGUUUAAGAGAUCUCAUUUACAUGGAGCGUGAUGGCACAUGCCUAUAAUCCAAUGACGUCUGAGGCAGCAGGAUUAUAAUAUCCAGGCCAGCCUCAGUAACUUAAUGAGGCCCUAAGUAACUUAGUGAGAACCUGUCUCAAAAUAUAAAAUAAAAUGGGUUGGGAAUAUAGCUCACUGGUAAAUUCCUUGGGUUCAAUCCCUUGCCCCCCUCAAGAUGUUAUUUAAUGAAUGAAUGAGUGAAUCAGUGAACAGAUGAAGAUGAAAGAAUUUAGAAUUUAAAUUAUUUGGGAUGCACAAACCAAAAAUUAAUGACCAUUAACACAUGAGAGUUUGGGUUUCCAUGUGGAAAAAGAUCCUCAAAAGAAAAAUCUAGAACAAAAGAGUAGAAGUUAUAGAGAUGUUCAUAUAGGCCAAAUGGAAGGAAUAAUUAUUUAACAAUAAGUUUCAUCAUAUGAUAGUCAUGUGUGGUCUAUCCAAAAAAGUCAAUAUAAAAGUCAAGAGGUAGAAUUCUAUUUCCAAUUACAUGGAAUAUACAGCAAGAGAAUCUGCUUAUGCUGUACCAGGUUUAUUAAGGACAUACAUUAAUCUUUUAAUUUAAUCUUCACAUCUACCCAUACCAUACAGUUUACCAUCCACAUUUUACAAAUAAGUAAUCUGAGGCAAAUAAGCUAAACAACAUUCUAAAAGUCAUACAAUUUGUGGCAGAUCUAAGUUUUAAAACUUCGAAAUUCUCAUUCUGAUGCUUGUGCUCAGAUAACAAUGGCAUGAAAAACAACAACAAAAAAUUUAAAAACAGAGAAUCAGCCCCCUACAUCUUAACUUGAUGUUCACUGAUAUAAUCCUUCAUUUACUACUCCUUCAAUAGUUAGAAAACAUAUUUGAGAACCUGUCUUCACUAGAUAGUAUGUUAGCUACAGUGAUUGUGAAUACAAAACAAUUCCUACCCUUACAGUACUUGUGUUCUCAAAACUCUGAAUUGCCUCAAAUAUGCCUGAAAAAAUAGUGAGGGGAACACCUACAUGGAUUUACUAAAUAAUUCACGAUUUCUGGCCAGGGAUUCAAGGUGCUGUAAAACAGAGAGUAUGUACAGACAGAAAUGGAAAUGGGGAAAUAUGUAGGAAUCCAGGUAGAUGGUAGGAUUAAUCAGAGUCAAGCAAGCAGAAUAUCCAGGACCUAAGUAGGCUGAGACCUUCAUAGUACCUGAAAACAAACAGAAGUGUGAUAUGAAGUCCACAUUAGGAUCCUGGGAAUAGAAGGAAGGUUGUUUGGAAGGAUCAUCUGGAUUGUCCAUGGUUAACAUGGUGGAACUAGUAUAAGGGGGUGUAAGUUGGGACAACCUCAAAGGAGAUGCAUGAGCCAAUAGAUUUUUGAGUCCAGUUUUGCAUUAGAUUAAGUGAAUGACCAUUUUUCUAUGAACCUCAUUUUUUUUUUACCUGUGAAAUAGGAUUAUCAUGUAAACAAUGAAAGAUUAAAUGAGAUCAAAGGAAGGUAAAACAAAAAACUUUGCCUGAACAAAGUAGGUACUCAAUAAAUGUCAGUUCCCUGUAUUCAGCUCUGAGGGGGUAAGCUUGAGCCUCCUCUGACCCCACUGACCCUUCAUGAUUUUUUUUGAGGUUUCUAUAAAAUCAGGCCUUUGAAUGGAGCACAAUUGUCUAUGAAAGAAGUGUUUGGGGGAACAGAGUAUACUGACCUUUUAAUCAUUUUCUCUUAGAGGACCUUUUUCAGAACUAUUGUAUGGCAUAUAGUUACAAACAUUAAAAAUAUACAGUGAAUGUCCACUUAUUUUAAAAAUAAAUUUAGUAAAAGUAUAUUGAAAUGCAUUGUGCAGAGCCAAGAUCCUCAGGGGUUUGCAUUCUCAUAGCAAGUCGUAUAUAUCAAGAGAUAACAUUUCAGUUCUUUGAGUUUUAUUCUAUAAGCAGAAUUCUAGCUCUUAGAUCUUGAGUUGAAUAUUCACCUAAAAGCCUGAGUGAGUGCCUCAACCAUUUCUUGAUUUACUGAUCUCUAUCUUUAAAUGUUACUUAUACAGAUUAUAGGAACAAUAGUUUAAUGAUGUUCAAUUUGAGUUUUAAAGGAAUAGAACUGGUGGGAGGGACAUAUUGAAUAGAUAAGUCAAAAUAAUCUGUAUGCAGUAUUUCUAAAGCAGAAAAAGAUUUGAGAUUUUUCAGAAAAUUCAUUUUCUAUGGAACCAAGUCAUGAAAGACCACAAAUUACAUAUUACACUAAAUUUGGUCCUUUGACUUGAAGCAUAUUUUUUUUAAAGGGGAAAGAAUCCAAUAUAACAUGGUUAAAAUCUUCCUCAUUUUUUAAAGACUAUCACAGUAUCAGUUCCUAGGUCCUUAGAGUUAAAACAGUAUAUAAGAACCCUUCUACAGAACCAGGUUCCAACCUAAUCAAAAAGUUAUUUGAACUCUGAUUUCAUAUUAUAUUAUCUUGGACCUUUGGUAAAUACCUUCCCCUCUUCAAACUUCAAUUUCUUAAUUUGUUAAACUCUUCAAAAGGUGAAAUGAUAUUAUAUAUGAAUGCAAUUUAUAAUCUUAAAUUCUCUUUUUUGUUGUUUUAAUCUUUUGGAGUCGGUUUUUCCCCAGAAGGAAAACAACCAAAACUUGCACAGCAUAAUAGGACACGAGUUCACUUACAACCUCACUGUUGUAUAAAGAGGUAUAGGUGAAUAUUGUCUAUAUAGUGCCAUAAUUAUUUCUCAGAAGUGUAUGAACAAAAUAGUAACCCCUUCAUCCUUCUCUUUAUGAACAAGUUUUACUCCAUCAUUAUAUAAAAAUUUGGAUCACAUUGUUGUCAAUGGCAAUAUCUGAUGCAUUGUAAUAACAUUUUUCAUACCCACCUGCACUGUUUUCAUCUAGCUUAUCUAGUUUCAGAAAUCCUCCAAAUAUAAAAAUUUUAUGUUGAUUCUUAAAUGCUUAAUACUUUGAUUCUUAUAAACAACUAUUGUGUUUCUUUUCUCCCUAUGCUUCUGAGUUCAACUCCCUCCAUAUGGUUUUGAACAGAUUUCAUAAUACCAAAAAGUAUCAGCCCUCUUAGGUUUGAUGUGCAGCAUAUUUGAUGCUAAUAAAUGGAAUGUGAUUUUGCGCCAUGGCCACUUUUAUAGAAGUGAUGAUUUGGGGUUUCCAGAAGGAAACGUAUGUAGAUGGCCCAGUACCCACAUUUUCUAUCAUCAGAUAUAGAUAGAGCAUGCAUCCAUUUUUAUCUUGCAUCAAUAAUAGUUGAGAUAAUUUCUCUUUAUCACCUCUGUUUUUCUCUUUUGUUUUCUAAAUUUAGCUCACAUCUGCAAUGUUUUUAUCUUUUUGCAGCCUCAGUAAUUCAUUGUCAUGCAUUCUUGAAGUCUACUUAAUUACCUGAAAAUUUUUGAGUUAGGUUUCUAUACUUAUUCUGGUUAUUAUUGUUUUAAUCAGCUUUUUUUGUUGUUGCUGUGACCAAAAGACCUGGAAAGAGUAAUUUUAAGAAGGGAAAGGUAAUUUGGGGGCACAUGGUUUCAGAGAUCUCAGUUCAUAGUUAGCUAGCUCCAUUCCUUGGGGAGUGAAGUAAUACAGGACAUCAUGGUAGAAUGGUGGAAUUGUAUUGUGGAGGAAAGUAGCUGGGAAGAUGGCAUCCAGGAAACACACACACACAUACAGAGAGAGAGAGAGAGAGAGAGAGAGAGAGAGAGAGAGAGAGAGAGAGAGAAAGAGAGUGAGCUCUGCUCAAAAAGGACAAAAUAUAAACCCCAAAGGCAUGUCCCCAGGAACCCACCUUCUGCAGCCAUAUCCUACCUUUUACAGUUACCACCAAAUUAACCCUUAUCAGGAGAUUAAGCCACUGAUUAGGUAAAAAAUUUUUUUUUGAGAUGGAAAUAUUUAUAACCAAUUUUACCCCAUUCCUUUUCAUGUUAUUGACAUAUUUUAAAAAGAAAUUUUUUUGAAGAGCAGUUUUAGUUUCACCGCAGUAAGUAGAAGAUACAGAGAUUUCCUGUUUACCCUGUACUCCACACAUGCACAUCCUUCCCUUUUAUCAACAUCCCCCACCAUAGUAGUGUAUUUGAUAAUAAUUGAUGAACCAUCCACACAUCAUUGUCACCCAGAGUUUAUAUUUCACAUUAGGAUUCACUCUUGGUUUUGUACAUUCUGUGGGUUUGGACAAAUGUAUAACAUACGUCUACCAUUAGAGUAGCAUACAGAAUGGAUUCUCUUUCUGGAAGAUGAUUUCUGUUUACAUGAGAUCCUGUGACUUUGUGUAGUGGUGCAUAGAACUUUUCUCUGAUAGUGAUUGUUGUUCUGAGAACACAAAAGAAACAAAAAAGUGCUGCUUAGAGCACUUUUUUGACUUGAGAUUUGGUGUGCUUGGCAGUCAUUGUGCCCACAGGCAGUGGCCAUUGCAUACUGCAGCCUGGGAGCCCAGUAGCAUGGGGGAAAGAUGGGUGAGGCUAUUUUAAGCUAUUUUUUUUUUAUCAAUUUUUUUCUUUUUUUUAAUUAUUUUUUAUUGGUUGUUCAAAACAUUACAAAGCUCAUGAUAUAUCAUCUUUCAUACAUUUGACUCAAUUGGGUUAUGAACUCCCAUUUUUACCCCAAAUACAAAUUGCAUAAUCACAUCGGUUACACACUCACAUUUUUACAUAAUGGCAUAUUAGUGACUGUUGUAUUCUGCUACCGUUCCUUUCCCCUACUAUCCUCCCUCCCCUCCCCUCCCAUCCCUCUCUACCUCAUCUGCUGUUGUUCAAUUCUCUCCCUUGUUUGCCCCCCCUUUCCCCUCACAUCCUCUUCUAUGUAAUUUUGUGUAACAUUGAGGGUCUCCUACCAUUUCCAUAUGCUUUCCCUUCUCUCUCCCUUUCUCUCCCCCCACUCGUCUUUGUUUAAUGUUAAUCUUUUCCUCAUGCUCUUCCUCCCUGUUCUGUUCUUAGUUGCUCUCUUUAUAUCAAAGAAGACAUUUGGCAUUUGUUUUUUAAGGAUUGGCUAGCUUCGCUUAGCAUAAUCUGCUCUAAUGCCAUCCAUUUCCCUGCAAAUUCUAUGAUUUUGUCAUUUUUUAGUGCUGCGUAAUACUCCAUUGUGUAUAGAUGCCACAUUUUUUUUAUCCAUUCAUCUAUUGAAGGGCAUCUAGGUUGGUUCCACAGUCUAGCUGUUGUGAAUUGUGCCGCUAUGAUCAUUGAUGUGGCAGUAUCCCUAUAGUACGCUCUUUUAAGAUCCUCAGGGAAUAGUCCGAGAAGGGCGAUAGCUGGGUCAAAUGGUGGAUCCAUUCCCAGCUUUCCCAGGAAUCUCCAUACUGCUUUCCAAAUUGGCCUCACCAAUUUGCAGUCCCACCAGCAGUGUACAAGUGUACCCUUUUCCCCACAUCCUCGCCAACACUUAUUGUUGUUUGACUUCAUAAUGGCUGCCAAUCUUACUGGAGUGAGAUGGUAUCUUAGGGUGGUUUUGAUUUGCAUUUCUCUGACUGCUAGAGAUGGUGAGCAUUUUUUCAUGUACUUGUUGAUUGAUUGUAUGUCCUCCUCUGAGAAGUGUCUGUUCAGGUCCUUGGCCCAUUUGUUGAUUGGGUUAUUUGUUAUCUUAUUGUUUAAUUUUUUGAGUUCUUUGUAUAUUCUGGAUAUUAGGGCUCUAUCUGAAGUGUGAGGGGUAAAAAUUUGUUCCCAGGAUGUAGGCUCUCUAUUUACCUCUCUUAUUGUUUCUCUUGCUGAGAAAAAACUUUUUAGUUUAAGUAAGUCCCAUUUGUUUAUUCUUGUUAUUAACUCUUGGGCUAUGGGCGUCCUAUUAAGGAAUUUGGAGCCCGACCCCACAGUAUGUAGAUCGUAGCCAACUUUUUCUUCUAUCAGACGCAGUGUCUCUGAUUUGAUAUCUAGCUCCUUGAUCCAUUUUGAGUUAACUUUUGUGCAUGGCGAGAGAAAGGGAUUCAGUUUCAUUUUGUUGCAUAUGGAUUUCCAAUUUUCCCAGCACCAUUUGUUGAAGAUGCUAUCCUUCCUCCAUUGCAUGCUUUUAGCCCCUUUAUCAAAUAUAAGAAAGUUGUAAUUUUGUGGAUUGGUNACCUUGUUUUUGCUGAGGCUGGCUUUGAACUCAGGCUCCUCCUGCCUCAGCCUCCCAAGCCUCUAGGUUUACAGGCUAAUUUUUCUUUUUAACAGUCAAAGUAUAUAAAGCACCUUUCUUACAUUGUUCCUGUUAGCCAAAGUGCUGAUAAUGUUUCUGAAACAUUAACUCAUUACUAUUGAUGGAAAUUGACAACCUGGUCAUAUAUCCAGGUUGCAUUGUUAUUUGCAACACAUUUUCUUUCUUCUUUUUGUGUUCACUCAUGCUCUUCUUUUUCCUAUCUGCCUUUCCCUCCUUCCAGCAGCGAACAAUUAUAUUUUUAAAUUUCUCUUUCAAUAUAAAGACCAUAUGAAUAGCUAUUAUAAGCCUUUUUCAAAUUUAGAAGUACAGGGAAUGUCUGCAUCCUAAGCAUUUAAUAUUGCUCUUUAGAUUGCUUAAGAUUCUACUAAUUUAGACAGAUUUAUUUGGGGGCAUAGGAUAAUGAAAGAUGUAACCAAAUAAAUGAGUGGCAGAGUCGAAGUGCCUCUAAAUGAAUAAUAACUUUAAUUUAUACUGAAUUUUCUGAAAACUAAAUAUUUGGACUUUUAAGUGAAAUUAACUUAAGCAUUUAAGCAUUUUAAAGAAUACAUGGCAUUCUCUACAUAUAUGCUAUAUAUGUGUAUAUACACACAUAUAAAAUUAUGUGUGUAUAUAUGAUAUGCAUAUAUGAAUGUGUGGGUAAGAAUAUCCAUGUAUAUGUCUGUGUGUCUUUAUGUGAUGUCCUUUCUAUAUAGAAUUUAAUUGUGUAAAAUACCAAAUAGAAUAAAACACUGAUAAAUACUAGAAAGUUGUCUUUGGAUGUAUAUACCCAGGAAUAGGAUUGCUGGACCAUAUAGUUCUAUUUGUUAAUUUUUGAAGGAAUCUUCUUACUGUUUUCCAUAAUGGCUGUCCUAAAUUACAUUCCCACCAACAGUGUGCAAAGGUUCUCUUUUUUUCCUUGUGCUCAUGAGCAUUUGUUAUUUUUGGUCAUUUUGAAAAUAGCUCUUCUUAUUGGAGUAAAAUGAUAUUCUAUUGUGGUUUUGAUAUUUACUUUCCUAAUGAUUAUCGAUGUUGAACAUUGUUUCAUGUAUCUGUUGACCAUUUCUAAGUCAUCUUUUGGGAGAUGACUAUUUUAUUCACAAGGUUUAGGAUAUUUUAGGACCAUCAAAUUUGAAAAAAACAAAAAAAAAACUCUGAAUUUUUUCAUAUGUGAGCUGUUACAGAAGUAAUUUUGCUGUAUAUUUGUGCAGGAAAUUUGAUAGUUUUUUAUUACUGAUAAUUUAAAAAAAAAUUUCAGCCUCACCUGUUGCUGUUUUCCACUUGAUAUUGGCAAGGUUUAGGAUAUUUUAAGACCACCAAAUUUGAAAAAAACAAAAAAUCUCUGAAUUUUUUCAUAUGUGAGCUGUUACAGAAGUACUUUUGCUGUAUAUUUGUGCAGGAAAUCUGAUAGUCUGUUUUAGAUUUGUGUCACUGUGACUAAUAUAACUGACAACUUAGAGGGGGAAAAGUUUAUUUUGGCUCACUUUCAGAAGUUCAGUCCAUAAUGACCCAAAUCCAUAGCUCUGAGCCUGAGAUGAGGUAAAACAUCAUGGUGGAAGGACAAGGCAGAGGAAAGCAGCUCAGCUCAGGACAUGACAGUGAGGAAGAAGAAGGGGGUUGGGGGAGUGAGCACGUAUAAAAGUAUGAGAGUGCUACUCUCACUGUGGACAAAUUAUAAACCCUAAAGUCAGGACCCCAGUGACCUGCUUCCUCUAGAGUCACCCUACAUGCCUAUAAUUACCACUCAGUUUAAGUGGAUUAACCCACUGACUAGGUUACAGAUCUCAUAAUCUAAUCAGUUCACCUCUGAACAUUUCUUUUUUAAAAGAACACAAUCAUUUCAUUAAAUCUACUUAUAUAUGUGUUUUUCCAUAGAUUACAUAAAUAAUAUGUCAACAAACCCCUGGUAUAUUAUUGUCACUCAUACUGAUCACAUAUGAAUCUAAUCUCAAUUAAUAUGUGUGCAUCAUUUUCCUUGUAAUUAUUAAGUUAGGAACAGUAGUUGUUCUCUGCAUUCAGUGCAUUACAAUUAAAAUAUCAAAGAAUCUCAAGACUACAGGAACAAUAAUACUGACAUGGCAAUUUCACUCAACUAAAGUUUCUACCAAGGGAGUAUAUCAUUCAGCAUGACUGACCACCUCAGAAAAGUUCUCUGCAGAACGUAUUGCUCAGACAGUCUGUCAGGAAGCACUCACCCUUGAUUGCCAUCAACUCUUCAGUGAAAACCAUUGGGGAAACAAACUGCUACCCUGAACAUUCUUUCAUUGUCUCACACAUGAUCUUCUCAGAGACACUACAUAUUCAAACAAUAACAGAGUGUAUUUCAUUAGAUUCCAAUAAAAAGGGAAGAAUGCAUGGGGCCUUGAAAAUUAUCCUUCUACAUUAUCAAGUGUGAUGCCAACAUGUUAAGAAUUUCAUUUUGAUUAUGUAAUUAAUGAAAAACAAAUAUUCUGCUAACAAUAUUAUGUCUUCUUAUUGGAAGAAUUUUCCACAGACUAGCUUCUGACUUCACAUAUUCUGAUUUUCUUUCUAAAACACUUCCUAUUCCAGGCAUCACAUUAUGAUCAUUGUUUUGGUUAUCUUUUUUGCUGCUGUAAGUAAAGACCUGACAAGAACAAUUUUAGAGGAGGAAAGGUUUAUUUAGGGGCUCAAAGUUUCAAAGAUCUCAGUCCAUAGAUAGCUGGCUUAAUCCCUUGGGACUUGAGGUAAGGCAGAACAUCAUGGCAGAAAGGUCUGGUGGAGAGAAAUGGCUCAAGACAUCACAUUAGGAAGAGAGAGGGAAUACGAUCAGUUCACCAAAUAUAUACCCCAAAGGCAUAUUCCCAGUGGUUCACCUCCUCUAGCCACAACCUACUAGCCUGCAAUUGCCACUCAGUUAAACACUGUUGGGAUUAAUUCACUGGAUUAAGGCUCUUCUAACCCUGUCAUUUCACUUCUUGCAUUGUCUCACACAUGAGCUUUGGGGGGGCACCUAGUAUCUAAAUUAUAACAGUCAUGCUAUAAUGCCACAUUAUAGCUUUGCCAUAGUGGGUGGUGGGAAUGUUCCUAGAAGCCAUUUUUACACUGGAGAUGCUAAAAUCCUAAAUAUCAACAGAAGUAGCUAUGAACUUUAUUCAUCAAACCAAAUAUCUUUUCCAAACUCAAUAAUCCUUUUGUCAGUAUUCCAAAGUACCUUUGGCCAUUCAAGUGAUACCCCAUUCAAGGAAAAUAUAAUGGAGAAGUUGGAGUGGAAAUUCUUUAACAUUUGUGGUUAAAAUGUUAUCUUUUCAAAUCUUGUAAAACCAUAUGACAAUAUGAAGUCAUUUUUAGGCAUCCUCCUGGUGCUUGGAGGGGGCUUGUCUAAGGGUUUCUGAAGCUUAAAAUUUACUAGCAUCAUAGAUUGUGCCUUUGAUUAUUGCUAUUAUAACUUUGAAUUGUAGUUAGCUCUUUAUUUUUUUCUUCAACUAGAUUAUUAAAUACAUGAUCUGUUCACCUUGAUAUAUUCAAGGGCCUCAAAGAGGAACGUGAAAGUAAAAGGAGCUUAAAAAUUAUGAGAUUUAAUAUUAAUGAGUAAUAAAAUUCUUGUAAGAAAAGAAGAUAGCAUAAGAUGCCCCCCAAAAAACUGGGCAAUAAUUUUAUAUCCAUGUUAUCUCAAGAUAACUUUUAAAAGGUUAAUUUCUUAUUACUUUAUUAAAAAUCCAGUGGAUUAAUUGAAUGCAGAUCCUGAAGCAGGCUUCUGCUGUAGUAAUUUGCUAAACAGAAUAGAAAUGUAUAUUAUAAGGUAUUAAUUGUUUAUUCAACUGCUGCAAUGACUGAUAACAUAGCAGACAGAGAGUAAAUGUUUGACAAAUGAGAGAAUAAAACUAAGAUAUAAUUAAUCUUUUGGUGUACUUGAUUUAUUUGGAUGGAGAUUAAUAAUUAUGCCUUCAUAAAUAAGCUCAUUUAUGAAACAAGUUUAGAGUUUCUGGCCUUUAAAACUAUCAAAGGUAUGGUGAUGCCAUAUUUUGUGCCACAUGCUAAUUUUCUUAUUCCUUCUCACAAAUGUCUAUAUGACUACUCCCUUCUUUGAGCCCCUCAAAAAAAUUUCCACCUUAGCUCUAGCAUUGUUUUAUUAUAAUUUAUUUAUUAUCACUAAAUACCUGGUCUAAAGUAGAAUUUCAGCUCUUUUGGAUUUGAAAACAUUGGGUUUUCUUCUCUCUCUCUCUCUCUCUCUCUCUCUCUCUCUCUCUCUCUCUCUCCGCCCCCCUCUCCCCCUGAUGCCCAAAUCUGUAUCUCUAUGUUGCCUAGCAUUCUGCUUGAAAUAAAUGAAAUGCUCAGUUGCUUAAGGAGUAUGAGCAUGCAAAUAUGCACAUUCAUCUAGAUAAUGCAACAGUGAUCUAGUUCUUUGCUUUGAUUCCUGGCUCACCUUUUCUCAAUUUGAUGUUGAUCAGCUAAUGUUCACUCUGUGACACAGAUAGGUGUUUUUAGGUAUUUGAUGUAUAAAUAACCUUAGUCCAACCUUAAUUAUGCUUUUAGUAUGCCAAUGACAUUCUUUUAGGCAUGUAACCAUUGUUCAUUCCUUCUUUUCGGUUUCAUUACUUCUUAGCAUUGUCAACUCAUAAAGAACCUGCUUUGUUUUAUGCGUCAGUGUAGAAUAUUCAUGGACCAGUUAGAUUGUAAUCUUACUAGGAAGGUGUUUAUUUUACAAGACAUUUAUUUUAUAUUCCUAAACAUAUGUAUAUUUAUGUGUACAUAUACAUAUAUAUUCAUAAGAAUAUACAUAUAUAGUUUAAAAUAUUGAUGAUCCAUACUAUAUCUUAAAUUAAUAUCUUAAACUACAUCUAUUAUCAUGGGGAAAUAUUUCUCAGCAUUAAAGUCAUAUUUAUUAGUACACAGUUCUAAUUAGUUUUUAGUCUCAUGGCACAUAACCAUCACCUGUAAUAAUUAUUAUACAAGUUACAUGUGGUCCCAAGUGAACAUAAUCAGUCAUCCAGAAAUAAAGUAAAAUCCGCCAAAGAUUUGUCAGACCCAAGGCAUUUGUAAAGCAUACUGUACUACCAGCAUUUAAUGAAAGAAAUUUUUAAAACACAGUGGACAUACUCUUAAAAAUUACCUUUUGAUCUAUAUUUUACCCUCCCCUCAAAUUAUUUGAUCUUAUUGAAUAACUUGGAAUUUUGAAAUAUCCUCCAUUGUCACUGGCAAACAUGUGUAUCUAAAAAUUAUCCCCAGAAUCUGUUCUCUAAUCAAAAUAUUUCCAUACCUGAAUCUGUGGCACCUUGCCUUUGGUUACCAGACUAUAUUUAGGCCCUCCAGUGAGGCAAUAAGUAUGAUGUAAAAUGACACUGUAGCUUCAUAUUCUUGAAUUUGAUAAUUAUUUUAUGCUUGGCUUUCAAUAUUCACUUUCAACAUUUUUACACUUCCUCCUAUCUUUUCCUAUUUGGACUUAGUAACUUUGCUUCAGGCUGUCUCCUUUUAAUGAAAUAUUCAUCUUCAUUGAGCACUUUUACUAGGAAAUUUUGUCUCUUUCUUGUCUCCUCUACUGCCACCUCCACGCUCCUUUCAACUCUCAUCUCAAAUUCUGUCUUGUACAUUAUGAAGCUGUGAUUCUAGCUGCUAUACUCUAAUUCAGCUCCAUGAGAAAUGGCUGGUAGGUAGGAGUCAGAUGUUUUCUCUUGACUUUGAAGGAAAUCUUUGAAUGUAAGAUUUUUAAACUUAAAAAAUCUCUAACUUAAAAAUAUCUGUCAUUUGAGAAUUCUUUUAUUGAAUGAUGCCAAAAAUGUAAGUACAUUUUAACUUUUAAAUAAUAAUAGUCUCAAUCCUCUCUGCAAGGGCAGUCAUAUAAGAUGGUAAGGACACACUUGCAUCAGAACUAAACAACUGUGAAAACACUAAGAGAGGCUGUGCCAUCACCUAGGCACACUGGGCCUCUGUUUCCUUGGUUAUAAAAUGGCACAUUAGCCAUUGUCUUGGCUAUCUCAGUGAGAUGCUGAGAAUGAAAGUGCUUGGAAAAGCAAAACAUGUUACCCAGCUAUGAGGGAUGAUGACUAUGCAUCUGGUCUACAUUUCUAGGAUGAAAUGACAAGGGAGUACAUUGGCAAUAAUAUAUUGAAGGUUGGCAUCUGAGAUCAGAGAGCUGAAAUAAAUAAGGUCUUAAGCUUCUUUAGCAUGGCAAGUUAUGGAAAAUGAUGAAUGUUGUCAAGACAAUUGAAUUUGGAAGAGGACCAAAGCAAUGAUUGGAAAAUGUGGUUCUGAGUUGCUGAGACAUUGAAAUAGAAGGAUCAACACAAUAUCUAAUAUAAUAUAUACUCCUGCGAUUUAGAAAGAUGAUGAGCUUGUCUAUGUAUUAAUAUUCACACUUAGAUUUACUAAGCAAAGCAUUCCUUGGCUACUUCUUGUCUCUGCAACAGAAGUAGUAUCUGGAUAUGAGUAGGUAAAGAUUGCAUUCCCCUGGACAACUUUUAAAGGGCCUCUGUCAUCUAUAAUUUAUUUUUAGGAAUUAUCAACAGAAAGAAAAUUGAAUAACUAAAAUAUAUAUUCAGUGAUGAGUACUAAGGAGAAAAUGAAGCAAGAAGGAGUUGUAGGAUAUGUCUAGGUUUAGGAAUUGUACUUUUUGGAAGGACUCACUGAGAAGAUGACAUCUGAGUUCAGACCCACAAGAUCUAUGAAUGAGUCAUGUCUCAUUCCUUCCUUACCAACUCCACUGAUACUAUGUCAAAGAGGAGGUAAAUGAAGCAGCAGCAGUAGUUACCAUUAUCCAUACAGUGUUACAAACAAAUAAAAAUAAUUUUGUUUCUUUUCCUUCAGUAUAUCCUUUUCUAAUGUUACUAAGAGCAAGAUACUACCAUUACAUUAUAUCUGCAAUAAGUACAAUCAACUUUUACACAGAUUUUUAAAACAUGUGUCAUGGAGCUGUAAGAAAGCAUAACCUUUAUUUGAUUUGAACUUAAGAUUUUUAUCAGCAUAUAAUGUAUCCUUUGCUCUUUCAGUGACUGACAUGUUAAAAGGGAAGUUUGGAAUGUCAUUCAGCUUACAUAUGUUUUAAGAAGUUCUGGAAUGCUAUUCUAAUGGAUUACCACCAAAGAGUAGGGAUGCACUUAAAUUAUACUACAAACCUAGUUACUAUACAAUACUGACCAGAUACAUAAGUUAGUGAUUUCUGUUUUGCAUCAUUCCUGUGUUCAGAUUGGAUAUGGAUUCAUGUUCUCAUUAUUAUAUGACUAUAUAAAUACAAGUGUAUAAUUAUGUGAGUGAAUACAAACAAGUAUACAAUUAUGUGACUGAAUACAAUUAUACAACCACAGUAUAAUUAUGCAACUAUUAUGCAAUUAUACCACUACUAACAAAUACUAUUUUCAUGAAGCUACCUCAUAGAUUUAGUUGCUGAGAAUUAAUAUUUAUUUCAAAGCUCCAUGUAUUCCUUAUUUUAUUUGUAUUUGUAUUAUUUCUAAAUUUGCCUUGUAUAUGGGGAAAGGAGGGAUGGAGAAAGGAGGGAGAGAGAGUAAUAAGUAUGGUAAAAUGCUGACAUUUGGGAAAUCUACAUGAAAAGCAUAUGAGAAUUCUUUAUAUUAAUUGUUGUAAUUUUUGGUAGAUACAAUAUUAUAUUUGAAACAAAAAGUUUAAAGAAUGACUUUAUUUUACCCUUACCUUUUAUAUUAAGGUAUAGUUUGAUAUGGAUUCAUCAUGCUUCCUCUUCCUUAGGAAGGAUAAAUAUUGCUGUAUUGCCUUCUAGUAUUCAUUGAGGCUAGUUCAGUAUGUUUCUUUAUGAGUAAACUUUUAAUUCUGUAUCCAUUUUAUUAUUUACUUCUUGAAUACUCAUUUAUAUCUUCUUUAUUUAUUCUUUGAGCUUGUUCUAUAUUUUUGAUACUAUUGUAGGCAUUUUAAGUGCAUAUAUGAGCAAAACAAAGACUUUUGUAUUGUGGAGUUCAUGUUCUACCAGGGUGGAGUGGUGGUGGCACAGAUGAUAAAAAUCAUAAAUAAAUGAAAAUUAUAUAGAAUGUUAGAAAAUGAGUGCUGGGGAAAUAAAAAAAAUAGAGAGGUUAGGGUGAUGAGUACAGGAGUAGGAGGAGAUAGUGAUUUUAAAUAUGAUAGUCUCAGUAGGCAUCAUAGAGAAUAUGAAAAUUGAACAAAGUGUUGUAAAAAAUGAAGGAAUUAGCUGCAUGGAUAUUUAUGGGAAUAGCAUUCCAUGCAGAGAGAAUGACCAGUUUUAAAAGUCCCAAAGGAGCCUACCAUAUGUAAUUAGGAAAAGCAGAGAAUAUGGUCAGGCUGGAGUGAAGUAGAUGAUAAAGAGAGCAAUAGAGUGUAGAUGAUGAAGUCAGAGAAAGAAUGGAGGUCAGAUAGUCUGGCUUGUUGGUCAUUUUAAUGACUUUGGUUUUUAUUUUCAGUGAAAGGGAUAUUCAUUACAGGGAGUUGAGUAGAGAAUUACCAUGAUUUUCCAUAACUUCAAAGGAUCAUUCUGGAGACUAAUUCACAGAGGCCAAUGAUAAGGGCAUGGAGACUGAGGCCGACUCCAUUGCAGAAUCCAGACUUGAAAUUAAGGUGGGUCAGGCCAGGCUGUGUGUAAUAGAAAUGGUAAGAAGUAUCAGAAUUCUCAAUAUAUUUUUAAUUUAAAUCCAAAAUGUGAAAUCUUAGCUUUGGCAUGUAAAAGAAAGUCAGAAAUCAAGAAUGUUUUCAGGUUUUUGUUUUCCACUUAUUCUUUCCAUUGUCCACUUAUUCUUAAUGGAAAGAAUAAGUGGACAUCAGUUAAAGACUAUAAGCUGAGAAAAUUUGAAGGUGGAGAAGAUCUGGCAUUCAGGUAUUUUCUAUCAGAUGUUCACACAUAAAUAUUAAAUACAGAUGGAUAUUACCAGUGAAAUUACUGUUGAAGGAUGAUAAGAAGUGAAGUGUCUGAAGCCAGUUUAAUUUCCUUUUUGAUUCCCUAUUUUCAUCUCUGGAUGUUUGAAUCUUAUCUUUAAUGUAUGAUUCUGAAAUUUCACAGUAAUAAGCAAAUUAAUGAAUUUAUUAAUUUGUCUUUGUAAUCAAUUAGCAGAGCAAAUUAUGAAGCAAAUUCCCACAUAACUCCAAGUCCUAAACCUGUCAAUGAUGCUAUAGGGUCCCCUUUUUAGGAUAAACAGCAGAAGUGAAUGGAUUAGAUACUGAGGGAUAUCUUUCACUAAAGGUCCUUGUAAUAUAUGAGAAAUUAUACCAUGAUAAACAUUUGAAUCAUUGGAAAGAGUUCUAAUUACUCUUACUGUAGAGCAAUGCAACUAUCAUGAUAUAGUGUUUCAUUUCACAGAAGCCAUUGAACCAUAUCAGUUAUUUUUUUUCUGUUUUGUGCCUCAUUUUAUUGGAUGAUAUUUUUAAAUUUUAAUCUGUUAUUUAUGACAGCAGAAUGCAAUACAAUUCAUAUUACAUGUAUAUAGCACAAUUUUUCAUAUCUCUGGUUAUACACAAGUAGAAUCACACCAUUCGUGUAUUCAUACACGUACUUAGGGUAAUGAUGUCCAUCUCAUUCCACCUUCUUUCCUACCCCCAUGACCCUUCCCUUAUCCUCCCUUACCUUUGCCCUAUCUAGAGGUCCUCCAUUCCUCCCAUGCUCACCCACUCUCAACCCCAUUAUGAAUCAGCAUCUUUAGCGAAAACAUUCAGCAUUUAGUUUUUUUGGGAUUGGCUAAAUUCACUUAGCCUUAUAUUCUUCAACUACAUCUAUUUACCCACAAAUGCCAUGAUUUUAUUCUCUUUCAAUGCUGAAUAAUAUUCUAUUAUGUAUAUAUACUGCAUUUUCUUUAUCCAUUCAUGUACUGAGAGGCAUCUAUGUUGGUUCCAUAGUUUACCUGUUGUGAAUUGUGCUGCUAUAAACAUUGAUGUGGCUGUGUCCCUAGGGUAUGCUGUUUUUAAGUCCUUUGGUUACAGACCAAGGAGUGGGAUAACUGGGUCAAAUGGUGGUUCCAUUCACAGUAUUCCAAUGACUCUCCAUACUGCUUUCACUAUUGGCUGCACCAAUUUGCAGUUCCACCAGCAAUGUACGAGUGUGCCUCUUUCCCACAUCCUUGCCAAUACUUACUGUUGUUUGUAUUCUUAACAGCUGCCAUUCUGACUGGCCUGAGAUGAAAUCUUAGAGUAGUUUUGAUUUGCAUUUCUCUAAUUGCUAGAGAUAUUGAACAUUUUUUCAUAUAUUUUUGGUAGAUUGUAUAUCUUCUUCUGAGGAGCGUCUGUUCAGUUUUUUGGCCCAUUUAUUGAUUGGAUUAUUUGGGGUUUUUUGUGUUAAGAUUUUUGAGUUCUUUAUAUAUCCUAGAGAUUAGUAAAUUAUCUGAUGUGUAAUCAAUGUUAAAAUAAAAAUAAAAAGCUACUCCAACACCUGGAGAAUAAAUAAUAUGUUACUGAAUAAAUAAUGGGUUGUAAAAGACAUCAAGGAGGAGAUUUAAAAAUUCUUAGAGGUAAAUGAGAGCAUUGAUACAACAUAUCGAAAUCUCUGAGGCACUAUGAAGUCAGUAUUAAGAGGAAAGUUCAUUGCAUGGAGUUCAUGCCUUAAAAAAAGAAAAAGUCAACAAAUAAAUGACCUAAAAUUGCAUCUCAAAGCGUUAGAAAAAGAAGAACAAAUCAGCACCAAAAGCAGUAGAACUCAGGAAAUAAUUAAAAUCAGAGCUGAAAUUAUGAAUUUGAAACAAAAGAAACAAUUGAAAAAAUUGACAAAACAAAAAGUUGGUUCUUUGAAAAAUAAAUAAAAUUGAUAAACCCUUAGCUAUGCUAAUGAAGAGGAGAGAGAAAACUCAAAUUACUAACAUCCAUGAUGAAAAAGUAAAUAUGACAACAGACACUACAGAAAUACAGAAGAUAAUUAGAAAUUAUUUUGAAAAUUUGUACUCCAAUAAAAUAGAAAAUAACAAAGGCAUCCAAAAAUUUCUAGAGUCAUAUGAUUUGCCCAAAUUGAAUCAGGAUGAUAUACACAAUUUAAACAGGUCAAUUUCAAGCAAUGAAUAGAAGAUGCCAUCAGAAGCCUACCAACCAAGAAAAGCCCCAGACCAGAGGGAUACACAGCUGAGUUUUACAAGACAUUUAAAGAAGAAUUAAUACCAAUGCUCUUCAAAUUAUUUUGAGAUAUAUAAAAAGAGUGAGCACUUACAAAUUCAUUCUAUGAGGCCAAUAUCACCCUGAUUCCAAAACCAGGCAAAGACACAUCAAAGAAAGAAAACUUCAGACCAAUAUCUCUAAUGAACAUAGAUGCAAAAAUUCUCAAUAAAAUUCUGGUAAAUUGAAUACAAAUACAUAUCGAAAGAUAGUUCACCAUGAUCAAGUGGGUUCAUCUCAGGGAUGCAAGGUUGGUUUAACAUACAGAAAUAAGUAAAUGUAAUUCAUCACAUCAAUAGACUUAAAGAUAAGAAUCAUAUGAUCAUCUCAACAGAUGCAGAAAAAGCAUUUGACAAAAUAUAGCACCUCUUCAUGUUCAAAACACUAGAAAAUCUAGGGAUAAUAGGAACAUAUUUCAACAUUGUAAAAGCUAUCUAUGCUAAGCCCCAGGCCAACAUCAUUCUUAAGGGAGAAAAAUUAAAAGCACCCCCUCUAAAAACUGGAACAAGGCAGGGAUGCCUUCUUUUUGCACUUCUAUUUAACAUAGUUUUUCUGUCUAAUUGCACUAGCCAGAGCAAUUAGAUGAAAAAAAUUAAAGGGAUAUGGAUAAGAAAAGAAGAAUUCAAAUUUGCACUAUUUGCGAACAAUAUGAUUCUAAAUCUAAAGACCCAAAAAAUUCCACCAGAAAACUUCUAGAACUAAUAAAUGAAUUCAGCAAGGCAGCAGAAUAUAAAAUCAACACCCAUAACUCAAAGAGAUGUCUGUAUAUCAGUGACAAGUCUUCUGAAAGAGAAACAAGAAAAACUACCCCACUUAUAACAGACUAAAAAAAUACUUGGGAAUCAACUUAAUGAAAGAGGUGAAAGACCUCUUCUACAAAAACUACAGAAUGCUAAAGAAAGAAAUUAAAGAAGACCUUAGAAAAUGGAAAGAUCUGCCUUGUUCUUGGAUAGGCAGAAUUAAAUGAAUUAAAUGAACAUACUAUCAAAAGCACUAUAGAGAUCUAAUGCAAUUCCAGUCAAAAUCCCAAUGACAUUCCUCAUAGAAAUAGAAAAAGCACUCAUGAAAUUCAUCUGGAAGAAUAAGAAACUCAGAAUAGCUAAAGAAAUUCUUAGCAAGAAGUGUGAAGCAGGUGGCAUCACUAUACCAGAUCUUAAACUAUACUAAACAAAGCUAUUGUAACAAAAAUGGCAUGGUAUUAGAAUCAAAAUAAACUUGUAGACCAAUGAUACAGAAUAGAGGACACAGAGACAAACCCACAUAAUUACAGUUAUCUUAUAUUAGACAAAGUCACCAAAAACAUACAUUCAAGAAAAAAAUAGCCUCUUCAACAAAUGGUGCUGGGAAAACUGGAAAUCCAUAUGCAACAAAAUGAAAAUAAACCCCAUCUCUUACCAUGCACAAAACUCAACUCAAAGGGAUCAAGAAUCUACUGAUUAAACCAGAGACCCUGCGCCUAAUAGAAAAAAAAUUAGUAGGCUCAAAUUUCCAUUAUGUCGCAUUAGGCCCCACUUUCCUUAAUAAGAUUCCUAUUGUGCAAAAAUUAAAAUCAAGAAUCAAUAAAUGGCAUUGAUUCAAACUAAAAAGCUUCUUCUCAGCAAAAGAAACAAUCAGUGAGGUGCAUUGAGAGUCUGCAUUUUUGGCACAAAUUUUUACCAUAUCUUUUAUUUGAUAGCUGUUACAUAAAUAGUGCAUGAGAGAUCUCCUGACACAUACACAUUUGUUCCUCAUCAUUGGCAUAUGUAAUAUUAAGCUGUCUUUUUAUUUAGUGUGACAUCUAAGCACUUUUAAUUUUAGUAAAAUUAAUAGAUAUUUAUUUUCUGCCAAAGAUGAGGAUACCAAUAGCAAUCUCUUUCCUCUGGUCAUUGUCACAACUUUAUUACUUACCCCAUUGUGGUUGCCCAUUCAUUUCACAGCUAAACUGGCACACACAAUUUUUUAAAAACCACAGGUGUUGAUUUCCUAUUGUUGCCCCAUUGCAUAAACACUACCCUAGUAUAUCAUAGUGAAUGAAUAUUUCACUAGAGCAGUUGCUGAUGCUUAAAAUACAAAUGAUAUAUGCUCAUCACUUUGCUAUUCCUAUCCUUGUAUGAACUUUCACUAGUAGCCAAUGAUAACUGAAUAUUUAACACCCAAAAGCAUUGAAGUACAUUUACUUUCCUUCUAAAUAAUUUAUAACUAAAAGUUGACAUCUGAAAGAAACCCUUAGCUCUCAGAAGAAAUAAUAGUAUGGGGAUACUUUUGUUGGCAUCCAUGUUGGAUAUGAGAAAUACAUACAGUUUUCAGUAAAUCAUCUAGGUUCAUAAGAAUAUGAAGCUGGAAGCCACUUCAGAAUAUGUGAAAGUGAAAAAGGUGCUAAUAUUUUAGGAACAUUCAGUAUGUAUCUGAUACCAUGUAAGGAAAUUUAUGUAUAUUAUUUCAUUGAAAUUUCAUAGAAAUUCUAGGAAUGUAAUAAUAUUUUCAAGAUGAGGACACCGAAUCUAUAAAAUGGUUAAGAUAUUGAUGUAAGUACAACAGUAAGAAAGUGGGAGAUUUGACAUAUGCCUGUAAUCUCAGUAAGUUGAGAGACCAAGGAAGGAGGAUCACAAGUUUGAGGCCAGCCUGGGCAACUUAGUGAGACCCGGUCUCAAAAUAAAAAAAGGCUGGGGUGUGACUCUGGUAGGUACUGGGUUCAAUCCCUAGUACCACAAAAGAAGAAAAAAGGUGGGAGAUCUGAGAUUCAAUUAUAGUUUGUCUUCCAUAUCAUUCUGCCUCUCAAUUUUUAAAUUUUAUAACUGAGGAAGACAUUUAGGGAUAUUUAAUGAGUUAUUCAAAGUCAGCCAGGUGGUUUAUGGGAGAGCUGGAGUUAGAAUCCCUGUUCUCUCUGGACUCUCUCUCCCUCAGGCAGAAAUGUCUUCAACAUUAAUCUUUCUUCCUAUAAAAAUCUGUAAUUCACAAUAUUCAGUAUUUUACGUUGGUUGGAAACUUGAUUUUUCUCCUGGAAAAAAUGGUACUGGAUUCCAAAAAUUAAGUAACUGAAAUUAUUAGACAGCUCAACUCUGCUAAUAAGCUCUUUAUCUUGUUUUGGGCCUGUUACACUUCUAUUUGACUCUGAAGUCUUGCCUCAGUUUUGAAAGGACCUCCACCACACUGAACCCUUUAUUUAGAAAACAAAGGGCCAGAGAGCAGCUUAAUAAUUGAUACAGUGCCAUAAAAGACAAGACCACUGGUAACUUAUGAUCAUAGUAGAAACAUUUUGGUAAAAUAUUCCCAACUUUAAGCAGAGAAUAUAUUCAUUCAGCCCAAAAUUAUCUGUUGAAUAUCAACUACAUGCCAGAUAUUGUUUAUGUCUGAGGAUAUACAAUUGAAUAAAAGAAGCUCAAUGACUAGUCAUAGUGGAAAACACAAUAAAUAAGCAAAUACAGUUUAGAAUUCUAUUCCUGAAAAAUGAAAAAUUAGCAUAGGCUUUUAGUUUCCUCCCUCAAAGCCAACUCUGGAUGGAAAUCCAAGAAUUAUAAAAGAAUCUGACUGGGCAUGAUGGCGUAUACCCAUAAUCCUAGUGAUUUAGAAGGCUGAGGCAGGAGGAUCACAAGUUUGAAGCCAGCCCCAGCUAUUUAGUGAGACCCUAAGCACGGUAGAGCGCUCACCUGUCUCAAAAAAAUGCGGGGGGAGGGGGAGGGGGCGGGGUCCUGAAGAAUUUGCUUAAUGGUUAACCAUCCUGGUAAGAAAAAAAAAAAAAAGAUCUAUGGGUAAACGGAGGCUUGUUUGAACUGUUGAAGGUAGGGUGAUGGUUACCAGCAAGCGUGUGAGAGGUUAAAUCAGGGAAAGAAAGCAAUCUGAUAUUUGCUGUUGAUUUUCCUCUGCUUUUGCCUUGGGACACCCAAUGCCCCACUGGUUACCAUGGGAAUUGGCAGCUAUACUUCAGACUUCUGGUGCCCACAUCUGUGGUGUGGGACUUGAUUAAUCUUGGACUGUGCUUAUAUACCCACAGCAAGAAUGAAGCCCAUAGACAAAGAUAAUAAAAUUUAGGAGCAUACCCACUUCAAAAGAAAAAUGGUAACAAAUACAGAUUACAGGGGUGUUAGGACAAUAAUUUCAGAUAAACCUAAAAGCUCAAUUGUAAAAAGGAAAGAGAUUAGAAUUAUAAGAUAAGAAAAUAAUUAUAAAAGCCAACUAUUUGGCAUUAUAAAUGAACUAUUUGGAAUGGAUGCAACAGGUAGAAUUAAUAACAGAAUGAAUACAUCUGAAAAAAGUGGAUUAGAGGAAUUUUUCUAGGGAGAAGCAGGAAAUACUUAUAUGUACAACAUAUAUAUAUAUAUAUAAUGUAUGUGUGUUUGUGUUUAUGUAUGCAUAUGUGCAUGUGUUUAAAGAGAUGGAAAAUAGAACUUGAAUGCUAACAUUGGGAUGAUAGGAGUUUCAGAAAAUUUAAAAAGUUGAGGUGAUUUUUGAGGAAGUAAUAAAGGUAGGGUCUGAAAAAAAAAUUACAAAAAAUGACUAGCCUAAGAAAGACAGGUGCGAAUUAUCAAACUGAAAAGAUGAAUACCCUCAGAAGACACAUUAUAGAAAAAAUUAAGAAUGUAAAAGACAAAAAGUUUUUUUAUAAAAAAUUCCACAGUGAAAAAGCAGAUCACAUUCAUAGGAACAAAAAUCAAGUUAACAUGAGAUUUUCAAUAGCAACACUGACUGUAGGAAGAUGAAGCUUUAACAUUUUUGAAGUUUUGAAGCAAAAGAACUUUGAGCUGAAGAUGAAGUUAAAAACAGAGGCCUGGGGCUCAGGUUGCAGCUCAGCGGUAGAGCGCUCACCUGGCACGUGCAAGGCGCUGGGUUCGAUCCUCAGCACCACAUAAAUAAAAUAAAUAAAUAAAAUAAAGGUAUUGUGUCUAACUACAACUAAAAAAAAUUAAAAAUUAAAAAGAAAAAAAUGUUUCUAUUCCUAUUAUAGGGGCUGAAAUAUGUGUGGCAUGCUCUCUGGGUAUGCUCUCUGGGACAGAGGCGGGUGGUUUAGUCUAAUAUCCACAUAAACAUGCUAAUAACUGACCUUCUUAUAAAUAAACAUAUAAUUGAUAUUUUCUAGGAGCAGAAUCCUUAUAUAUAGAAUGUUCUUUUCAGGAUGUCUCUGGGUUAGGAUUGCUAAUGGUAAACGAAUCUAUUAUGUAUGCAUUUGUGAGACAUGACUGUAGGAAAUGUCAUGUAAGCUUACAACUAUCUGCUGUAAAAAACAAAACAAAAGAAACAACCCAAAAAUAUCAGCGAUGUUUUGGAAACCUAAACCUGUGGGAAAUAACUCCCAAGCCUUAGUUAGAAACCUCAUCCAUUAAUCUGUUCAGACACCAUGUCCAGUGCAUGAAGAAUGGAUUUAUAGAGCUGUGUGGGAUGCACCAGAUUUCUGAUUCACUUGUGCCUCUUGAUUCCUUGUAUCCUUGAAAUCAUUAGCAAAACUUGAUACUGGAUAAUAUCUUAUAGUCAUGUGAAUCUGAUAUAACAAUCUUAUUCUCUAUAUUAACAUGGAACUUAUAAUUUUAUAUCUGGUCAAAUCACCUGAAGGCAUAAAAAGUAAUGUCUUUAAUGUGAUAAAGUCCAUGUUAUACGCCCCUCACAUGUGUAUACAUAUGCCUAAAUGAGAAAUGUUAGAAGAAAUAUAAGGAUGAUCAUUGUCAUCAGUUCUGGUUAGUAAUAUAUGGGUGGUCCUAGCAAAUGUUAUAAAAUAAGAAAAGAAGCUAAAGGUCUAAGAAUUUUAGAAAAGAAGAAAUAAAAAUAUUUUUGAUAAGUAAUAUGACUAUCUACUGUUAAUAUCCCCCCAAAUUUAUAAACAAAUUAGUAGAAAUAGUAGAGUGUAUCAGGGGCUGCUUAUAAAAUAAUUAAAGAAAAAUCAAUUCCUCAUGUAAAUAUUAAUAGUAAAUAACCAGGAAAAAGAUUACAUUUAUUAUAUAUCACAAAACCAAAUAUCGAAUUAAAAAAUCAAUAAAAAAUGUAGGAAAACAUAUGUAAAAUUAUAGAACUUUACUAAGAAGCAUCAAUAAGACCUAAAGAAGUAAAUAUCAUAUUCAUGAAUAGGAAUAUUUAAUAUUAUAAAAAAUGUAUUUUUCUUGCAAAGUGACCUGUAUGAACAAUGGCAUUUAUAAAAAUCUCAACAGAAUUUUUUUUUGAAGCUUGAUAAACCUGAUUGAAAAUUUUUAUGCAAGUACAUAUGUGAAGAAGGGCCAAGAUACUUAUAAUGAAGAGUAAAGAUGUAUGACCCACCACCAGCCACCAAGAAUUAUUAUAAAGUUACAGUAAGUAAGACAGUGUAAUAUUGUCCCUGGUAUUAACAAAUUGAUCAAGUACGAAUAAUCACCUAAAAGUAGACUUAUAUAUGUGAACCUUUGGUAUAUAAACAUCAUAGUAUGAUAAAUAAAUGGAAAAUGAGGAGCUAUUUAAUAACCUGGCCAUACAUAUAGAAAAAUAAAUUUGGAUCCCCAUCUUCCACUAAGUGCAAAAUCAAUUUAAGAUAAAUAAAGGACUUAAAUAUCAGAAGCAAGCCUUUAAAGCUUUGGUAAAAAGUAUAUUCAAACAUUACUUUAACAUUGGAGUUAGGGAAUGACUUCAUAAAAUACCAUAAAAGUUAACCAUAAGGAAAAAGUGGUAUAUCUGAAUUUAAACAAAAGAACUUUUGUUCAUGAAAUCAUUUUAAGACAGUGAAAACUAAGAUAUAUACAGUGAGAUGUUCACAGUACUAUUGCACAUCAUCAACAUAAGGUUUCUGUUCAUAAGUACAUAAUGAACAAAAUAACAAUAAAUGCCAAGUAACCCCAAAAGAAAAACAAUUAGGAUUUUCACAGAUGAGGAAACAUAUGUGACCAAUAGCUGUAUGAGGAAAUGUUCAACUUCAUUAGUAAUCAGGCAAAAGCAAAUUAAAACUGGGAUGAAAUUCAAUUUUAUAUUCAUUUAGAUGGGAAAGGAUUUUAAAAAUAUCAUGUGGAGAAAUGUGCAGUAGCAAGAUUUCUUAUACUGUGGUGGAAAUGUGAGUUGACAUAGCAAAUUAAUUUGGCAUUUUCUUAAAAAUGAACAUUUUCAUAUCUUCUGAGCCAGCAAUUUCUAUUCCUGGGUAUGGACACUAGAGAAGUAUCUUGCAAAUUUUGUGUAGGAGAAAUGGACAAGAAUUCAUAGCAUUUGUAUGAUAGUAAAAGCCUGGAAAUUAUUUAAAUGUUCAUUUACAGAAGAAUGGGUUGUGCUAUGUCCAUGCAAAAGAACAUUUUAUAGUAUUCAAAAUGUUGAAAAUACAGCUACAUGCAAAAAUAUGAAUCAACUUUAGCAAUGUAAUAUUGAGUGAAAAGGGAAAUUCCAAAAAGAUUAUAUAAACAGGAUAGAUUUUUAUAAAAUUAAAGACAUUAAAAUCUAAAUAAUAUACUUUUUCUCUGAAUAUUUAUAGAUCUAACAAAAUUUAAUAAAUAAGCGUGUGUAUAUGUAUACAUACUUCUGUGUAUACAUUUAAGUAUAUCCUUAUGUGUAUGUGUGUGUAUAUGCAUGCAUAUGCGUUGGUGGGUGUGGUGCUGUGUAAUUCCUGUGAUUUAAGAGACUGAGGCAAGAGAAACCUAAGUUUAAGGCCAGCCUCAGCAAUUUAGUCAUUGCUGUCUUAAAAUAAGAAGGACUGGAGAUGAAGAUCAGUGGCAUAGUGCCCCUGGGUUCAGUUCCCAGUAUAUGUGUGUGUGUGUGUGUGUGUGUGUAUAAACACAAAUAAAAUAUAUAAGCGUGCAUUUAUCCACAUACAUAUAUAAAGCUAAGAAAACCCACCAUACAAUUCAGGAUGGUAGAAUAGUUGUUUUCAGGGAAUAAAAUUUUGAAUAGCCCCAAUGAUAAAUGUAAAUUAUUGUGAUUUUCUAAUUUCUAUUUUAAAUGGUGGUUUUCCUUAUAUUACAAAAGGGAAAAGAAAGGAGAAAGGAAAGAAUGAAAAAAGAUCAUGCAAAGAUAAAUGAUGAGAGUGUGUCAUGUACCAGAGAUUAUAAUGAAUUUUAUUUGGGGUACUUAAACCAUACAUGUACUCACAAUUCUAAAAUAAUGGUAGUAUUGCUAUGAUGCGAAUACAUUGUUAUAAGAACAUAGGAUAAUUGACUUUAAUCCACAUAGAGAAAGUAAAGAAUCUGGAUAUACUUCCCAAAGAAGAUGUUCUAUGUAAUUGUUUAAAGUUUUAUGUAUUGUGUUAGAUUUCUCUCAGUGUAGCAAGAGGCCUGAGAUACACAUGUAAAAGAAGAAAAAGUUUAUUUGGGCCCAUGGUUUCAAGACAUUUCUAUUCAUCGUUGCUUAACAUUGCUGCCUUUGGGUCUGUGGUAAAGCAAUACUCAUGGCAGGGAACACAUGGAAAAUGAAUCAUGUUCAGUUCUUGAAUUGGGAAGAAAAGAGAGAGGAAGAAGUGUCCUGGGUCCUGAUAGCUCCUUCCAGGACAUGUACCCAAUUACCUAACAUGCUUCCACUAGACCCCACCUUCUAAAGGUUCUACUGCCUCCCAAUAGUGCCACAUACUAUUGACCAAGCCUUCAACACAUGGCCUUGGGGGUACAUUUAAGAUCCAAAUUAUAAAAUGUGUGUUGAUUUAUUAAUCCUCACAAUAGUAGAUACUGUUAUUAGACAUAUGUUAACAGGUACAGAUAAUAUAAGUAACAAUGUCACAAAACUAACAAAUGGCAAAAUGAAGUUUAUACUUUGUCAGUCUGACCUUCUUAAUCUCCUUGUUACACUGCUUAGAUUUUUUAUUCAUGACCUAGUAGAGUUUGGAAAUUUAAUCUAUAUGAAUAAUUGCUUGUUAUCAUGUGUGUAGAAAAGUGUCCUCCACAAUAACCUGACUCAGGCUAGAUGUCAUAGUCAGGGAUUACAGGAUGAGAAAUAGCCUCACUGUUCUUGUGUCUUGAUUCUAUCAGACCUUGGCAACACUAUGAAUUUCAGUCUUCAUGGCCAGAAACUUUGAUGUCCACUACUGGAUAUAUUAGCAGCAUGGGUAGCACUGUGGUUUCAGAAUUUUUCUUUAGCCCUAUCUCAUUUUCUUACAGUUAAACUUAGAUAAUAUAAUAUUUCGUUUUAUUAUGUAUUAUAUUAGAGAGUUCACGGAAAUAUUUAUUUCUACUCUAAAAACUUUUUUUUUAAUUUGACACCUAUCUAUAUAAUAAUCUAUCAGAUUAUUGGUCUUACCUGGUUAAUUAGAGGUCUGACUUACUUAACAUCAUUCUUGCCCUUUCUCAAUAGUAAAAGAUUUCCUCUGAGUAUGGAUUAUGAAUUUCAAAUACCACUUCCUCUAAGAAACAUUACAUAAUUUUCCAUGAGGUCAUGAUCUUUGUGUAGAUUUCUUUGAAGACAAGUGGUUGGUACUAUGGCAUGUUGUUUAUGUGUUGAUAUAUUCUACCUCUGAGAAAAGACUAUAAAUCUUUAGGGGCAGGAUCUGUGUACACUCAUUCAUUCAUUUCUUCAUUCACUAAUUCUAUGAGCUCUUAGUGAACACAUAAUUUGAGUUCAGACCUUGUUGUAGGUCUGGUAAAAAAAAAAUUAAUAAAGAAAGGGUAACAUUGUUAAGGACCUCCAACUUUUAUGAGGAGGACAAAAAUUAACAUGAAGUAUGAUGAGCACAGUGAUAGCACUAUGAGAAUAACUGAUAGGAAGUCAGAGGGGAUUCUUCCCAGAGGAAACAGCAGGAAUGAUUUGUCUUUUCAGGCCAAGAACAGGCUGAGAAGGUAAAUAAAUAUCUUACUUUGCUUCAUGAUAUUUCCCACAUACAUAAUAGAUACUCAAAAUUUUGUUAAAUUGAGUUUUAAUUCACUAAUUUAGUUUUAAUUCAUUUGUUCAAUAAAUAUUUUUAAGUCUGUCAUGUGCCAGGCACUUUACCCAAUACAUCAAUAAAUAAAAGGCUUAGUCCUUGAGCUUUAGUGGCCUACAAACUGAUAGAUUAUUUUAGAUUAUCAAUGGCUUCCUAAAUGGACUCAAAUUUAGUGAGAUAAUGACAUAGUUUUGGGCUGAUAUCAGAGAUCUCCUCUCAUAAUGUUUCCUAUUAAUUGUUUCUUCAGCUGUUAGUAGUACUCAGAUUAUCCUCCAAAGAAACAAAACAAUUAAAAACUGAAAAAGAAAAGCUUCCACUUAUUUCAGCCUGUCUAUAAAAUGGUAAACAUCUAUGCUCUACCUCUCUCUUUCUCUCUUUCUUCUUUUCUUUUCUUUCUUUCUUUCUUUUUUUUUUUCAGUGCUGGGGAUUGAAUCCAGAACCUUGCACAUGUUGGAUACACACUCCAAUACUGAUGAGAAAUAGCCUCACUGAGCUACAUCAUGAGCCCUUUUUAUUUUACUAUGAGAUAGGGUCUCACUAAAUUGCUCUGUCUUGCCUCAAACUUCCAAUCCUUCUGCUCCACCUCCUGAGUAGCUGGGAUUACAGGCAUGUGCCACCACACCUGAGUAUUUAUCUAUUAAUUAGCACCAGAAAUUUAUUUAAUUUCCCUUCUUUUUUUGCCCUUCAUAAAGUAAUGUGUAGUUGUAAGAACUUAUGAAAACUCAAUUUACCUUCUUGUCUGUUUAGGGAGAAAUAACUGUUCUAGAAUUGAAUUAAACUCUGUCACUCCCUAGAUGACAAUGUUUAAUCAAGGCAUCUUUUUAAUUUCUGGGCAGUGUCAUUUCAUCCAACAUGUUAAUGUGUGAGAUUUUCAUGUCUCUUAUGAAGCUUGGCUUCUGUGGACUGUGUGUCUCCACAUAAAGCCAUGUAGCAUGCAGAAAGCUUUCUUUUCUUUUCUUUUUAUUUGUUCUAAUUAGUUAUACAUGCAGUAGAAUGCAUUUAUAUACUUUGAUGUUUCAUACAUAGGUGGGAUAUAGUUUCUCAUUUUUCUGAGUAUACAUAUUGUAGAAUCACAUUGGUCAUAGAGUCACAUGCAUACACACAGUAAUAAUGUCUGUUUCAUUCUACUAUUUUUCUUAUCCCCACAUCCCCUGCCUUUCUUUUCAAACAUGAAUUUCUACUGAUUCCUGACAAUUCUGAAGAGAAUACAACUGUGUCUACACAAAGACAUUUUCUUAUAGAUGAAAUACUUAGAUUCCUGAGACAGAAAAAUUAGAUAGAUUUGGAUUUAAUCAGUCUAUUCUUUAUCUAACUUAAUAAAUGGAUAAGCUACUGAAUCUUAGAACUUCAAAUUCUUUGUUAAAUAUACAUGGUAAUAAGAAACUUGUAUAGUUAUUUAAUAUUUAAAUUAAGAACAUAUAUAAAGUAUCUGACACAUAGUUGGUAUUAUAAACUGAAUUGUAUCCACUCUAAUUCAUAUGCUGAAGCCCUCAACACAGUAUCUCUGAAUGUAACUGUAUUUGGAAAUGGGUCCUUUAAAGAGGUUAUUAAGUUAAAAUGAGGGUAUGGGAGUGGGAUCCUAAUCCAAUAUGACUGUUGCCCUUAUAAGAAGAUAUAUCCAAGUUGCUGUGCACAGGAUGGUCAUGUAGAGAUACAACAAGAAGAUGGCCAUCUGUAAGCCAAACAAAGGCCUCAGAGAAAACCCACCAACUUGCCUUGAUCCUGACUUUCAGCCUCCAGAAGAAUGAGAAAAUAUUUUUUGUUGUUGUUUAAGUUCCAUACUUGUAUGAUAUUUUGUGUGUGUGUGUGUAUGUGUGUACUAGAAAAAUAAUACAGUUUGCAUUUAACAUAGGGUGGCUAUUAUUAUUUUUGAGUGUUGGAUUUGGAGCCAGUUAUGGAUUGAGUUUUCCAUUCUUAAGUAUUUUCAUUUGCAAAGUGAGGUGAAUAAUAUUUCUCCUAUAGUUUUUCAUAAAGAUUAAAUGACUUAAUACAUUUAAAGAUCUUAGAAUAGGGACUUAAAUUUUUUUUUGUGUGUGGUGCUGAGGAUCAAACCCAGGGCCUCAUGCAUGCUAGGCAUGCACUGUACCACUGAACUAUGUCUCCACCUUUUUUUUUUUUUUACAUAAACCAUCUUAUAUCUGCCUUGAUUCUUCCCUUAUUCUGUCUACACAAAUGUUACAGAAUGAAUGUUUUCAUCUUCGGAAAAUAUUUUCUACUUGUGAACAUUUUAGCCAAUAUUUUAUAUACACAUGCUUUAUGUUAUCCUGGAGUAGACUUUCUAAAGGUCCUUUGAUUAUUUUAUUGUUCAAUAGAUAACUUUUUUGGGUCCUCACUGACAAUUAAAUAAUACCUAUACUAUCUAUUGUGGCAUUCAAUGCCUUUAAAAUGUAGAUCCUAACCUCCUGUCUAGCCUUAUUUCCCACUACUUUGCUCCCUACUCCAAACCCUCCUACUCAUAUUAUUCAUAAAUCCUUAUAAGGAAUUAUAUAUACUGAAGUUAAUUUGCCUAUAUUGACUUAUACUUUCCUUUACAUACUUUCCCACUUUUGUUUAAUAGUCCAGACUUUUUUUCUUUGUGUAAUUCUAUGUCUGUCGAUUUCCCACCUCCCCAUUAAAAUCCUGUAAAUUCAUUAGAUAACUGGAAGAUGGAUGAAGGAUAUGUAGGCACACAAUACAAACACCUCUGUAUUUGGUAUCAAUUUAACAAAAACAUUUUUAUAUGGCAGGUCCAUUUGAGAAGGACUUGAAAGUCUGAUUCUUUUGUUAUUAAAAAUUUAAACUGUACACUAUAAAAUGAAUUAUUAAUUGCAGCAAAUGAUCUAAUAGUAUUUAAAGUUUGUAUCUUUAUCUCUGAUUUUCUAGUUAAAUAUACUGGCCAAAAUUGAUCUUGAAAUUAGUGUAUCCACCUCAUUAUAUGCCCCAUUGCCCAAGUUGAAAUAGAGAAUUUAUUUAAAAGAUUGUCUUUAUUAAGUGACUGAGAAAGUCUUCCUUAAUAUGUAUGAUACUGAAUGAGUAUAUAGAUUGAUAUAGACAAAUGCAUAUAUAGUAGCAUUAUAAUUUUCUUGUCUGAUGGGAGCAUUGCAAAGGUUAAUUAGUGCCUUUGAUGAUUCUUGUUCCCCUUGAUGAAAAGACACUAUGCAAAUACAGAGUGCAGAAUAAGGAACUUAAUUGAAAGAGUUAUAUUAUCUGUGCUGUAGAUAAAUUUUAAAAUAUUUUUGUGAAGGGAGGGGGCUUUGCUUUUAACCCUGAGGCAUUGCCUGUAGGUCAAGUAUUUCAACCCAAGGUUUUGUGAUGAACAUGUUUUAAUUUAGAUGAGGCCAUGGAAUUAUUGGCUUAUGACUACAAUGGCCAAGACAGAAAGUAUAAGGAAACAUUUAUUUCUCCCCUUCUAAUAUCCAUGGGUACCUCAUUUAAUCAUUAACAUAAAAUUAUCACUGAGCUCUUCCUUCUGCUAUGAAGUAUAUUAUUACACCUCUGGGAUAACAUAUUUUAUAUAGGCAGAUCCUUUCUUUAGCUGGCAUGACCUAUGUUUGACUUUUAAGAAUUUACUCCUCAUAAAACUAUUUCGAGAGAUAACAAACAGCCUUGCUUGCAAACUAAUGCCACUUUCUAACAACACCAGAAGUAGGCAAUGCAGAUUGCCAUAAUUUUUCAAGUGUUUAGUGGUUUAGGGAGGAGAAAAGGGAAUUAACAUUUUCUGAGCAUCAGCUAUAUCAAAGCACUGGAUUUUGUAUUUUAUUAUUAUAUCACAAGUCUCUGUUAUGUAGUGAACCUUCCUUUAUCAUAGAAUUUAUUUGACUAUUAUAAAUAGUUAGUGGUUUAAAUGUCCAUUUUUCCUACUAGCAGCUACACUCUGUGAGGGCAUCAGUCAUUUAUCUCUUGUUUAUUUCUGCAUCCUUAUUACUAGUACAAUGUUUGGCACAUAGUAGGAUCUCAGUUAAUAUUGUUAAAAGUAACAAAUUUAUAAGCUUAUUUGAUCUUUUUAUUAAUACUUGUAACGACUUUGCACCUUAUAAUGACAUAGUUCAUAACUCUCAGGAUUGUUGUGAUAAUUAAAUUAAACAUACCUCCAGGUUAACAUGACAAUUUAAACUACAGCAUAUAUUUCUCAUUUCUUAAUACUUAAUUACAUGAACAAAAAAAUAAUUUAAAUAAGCCCCCCCACCUUCCCACCUCUCUCUCUCUCUCUCUCUCUCUCUCUCUCUCACACACACACACACACACACACACACACACACACACACACCCACACACACACACACACACCACAUAUCAAUAAUCAUUACCACAAGAUAAGCAACAGGGUAUAAUCUAAUAUAAAAACCUUAAAAAAUGAGUGACCAAGUAAGAAAACCAAAGGAUCUCUAAUGAAACAAAGAAGUGGCAGCACAAUGUGGUUCCUAGAGGCAUUAAUUCUACUCCCCAAUCUUUGGUAAAAUCUAAUUAGUAAACUGACCUAACCUUUAGAAUUCUCACUAAUAUAACCAAACCUGGAGAGACCCCAAAUGAAUGAUCUUCUUAUUAAAGGGUAACGGAAACAGUAUCUGGGGAGAAACUGCUGACAUGAUAAAGUACAUAGGGAAGAUUUCUCUCUCGGAGAAAGUGAGGGAUGAUGAAGUACAUAGGGAAGAUUUCUCUCUCUCCGUAAAAGUAAGGGAUCCUACAGACACUAUACAUAACAGAGAAUUAUAAUUGGACAUCCUGGAACUGGAUGCUUAACAAAAUCUCAGAAGAGAGUGUAAUCAGUUGAACUCCAAAGACUCCACAUUUCAGUCCAGUAUUUCUCCUGCAUUUUUUAUUCUUUUAAAAACAAGGAAUAUCCAGAACUCAAACUGUAGCUGGAUACAGGAAUGGAUGGGAAAUUGUAUCAAGAAGUCACACAUAUAAUAACUGCAGAAUGAAAUUUACCAAACUAUUAUGUGUAUGACUGUAUCAUAAUUAUUUCUACUUUUAUAUAUAAAUGUAGUGUACCAAUUUUAAAAUUAAUAGAAGACCAAUGGAGUGGAAGAAAGGGAUUAUAGGAGGAAGAAGGCGAAAGAGGAUAGUAUUGGGGAUUGAAAUGUAGCAGAUUACAUUAUAUGCAUUUAUGAAUGUUAAAGUGACUUCCACAAUAAUGGAUAACUAUAAAACAUCUAUCAUCCAUGUAUCCAUCUGUUUAUCCAUCUACUUUGAAUGAAGAAGUAGGAUUAUUUCAUGGAAAUGUGUAUUAAUACUUUUGUUCAAGUUAAUAUAAAGCCAGAUUUCAUUCUGACAGAUAGUAGAAUGAUUUGCUGAUGGUUUGAUAAUAACUAGGUUUGUCAUUUAGACUAUUUUUAUAUAUUUCCAUAAAGUAAGUGAACUAAUGCCACUCCAAACUGUUGAUAAAAAUUAGAAUUAUAAAAAGGUAUUUAUUACUCAAAUAUUAUAGAAUAAUGGAUGUCAGGCUUAUUUUUGUUUCAUAAACAUCUACAAUCUGAAGGCGAGUUUCAUUGGUAUCCUAGCUUUUUACUUGGCAGUGAGCAAAAACCUUAACAGGUGGAGGAAGGAAUAUUAUAGCUCAUUGCUGCUCAGGUGGGUGGAAUUUUUAGGGCACAAUACUAGAAAUGAGAGAACUGCAAAGAGAAGGAGCCCUAGUAAUUGGCAUAGAAAAUGCAAUAUCUUAUAUGAAAAAUUGACUAAAUGGGCAGAUUGCUGUAGAAGAUAGUGAACUUAAUUUUUGUUUGAUUUUAGGUGUUACAGAUGGAACCAAGGGGGUGAGAUACAUACCCAGUCAUUUUUGUUUUUGACUGAGAUACAUACCCAGUCAUUUUUGUUUUUUAUUUCUUGCUAACUUCCUAAGGAUCUGGUUAAUUUGCUGAGACUGGCCUCAACUUGCUGUCCUCCAGCCUCAGUCCCCUGAGUCACUGAGAUUUGGGUGUGUACCAUCAUGCCUAGUGAACACAGUGAACCUGAAAUCAGUGCAAAAGAAACUAUCAACACUGAAGUGUAUGGAGAAGGACAGCCUUUAAAAAAGCCUCAGCAAUUUUGUAGUUCAAAAUCAAAUAGUUUAAUAUAUGUACAAUCGCAGAUCUGAUAGAGGUGAGGAAAAAAUAGGACAAUUUUUUUCAUGAAAUCAUGGGUAAUAAUUUUCUAAAUUUUAGUAAAAACUAUCAAGUCAUAUGUCUUAGUCCAUUUCUGCUGCUAUAACAAAAUACCUUAGGUCAAGUUAUUUGUAAAUAAUAGAAAUGUAUUUCUCAUAGUUCUGGAGGUAUGAAGACCAAGAUCAAGGUGCUAGAAAAUGUGGUUUCUGGUAAGCACAUACUCUUUUCUUCCAGAAUGGCACCUUCUUGCUAUACUCUCAGUGGACAAAAGGAGAGAAAAUGAUACUAACAGACUAUUUUAAGUUCUUUUAAAAGGGUACUGAUUCCAUUUAUGAGAGUGGAAUCCUCAUGAUCUAUCACCUCCUAAAGGCCCUACCUCUUAAUGUGAUCACAUUGGGUUAUUAAAUUUCAGCAAUAAUUUUGGAGGUCAGCAAAAAUGUAAACCAUAACACCAAAUAUUCAAGAAGCUUAGAAAACAUUAGUUAUGAUCAUGGUCAAAUGUCUGAAAACCAAAGAUAAAGAGAAUCUUAGAAUCAGUGUCAUUAAAAAUCUCAUUGCAAACUGGGCAUUAUAAGAAAUGCUGCUGACAUUUAUGUAAAACAAUAACUGUGAAGAAAAACUACUCUUUAAAAUGCUGUGUUAUAUCCAUGAAAAUGUCUUUCAAAAGUGAAAGUAAAUUAAGACAUAUUCAAAUAAACAAAGAAUUCAGCACCAGCAUACUUGUGCUAAGGUAAACUAAAGAAGAUCUUCAGAAUCAAAGGAAAUGAUACAAGAUAGAAAUUCAGAUCUACAUAAAGAAAUAUAAAACACCAAAAUGGUAAAUUUAAGUUUUUUUUUCAUUUCUAAAUUUCUUUAAAAGACAAUUAACCCUUUAAACCAAAAAUAAUAAAGAUGUGUUGUAAAUUUAUAAGAUAUGUAUAAAAAUGUAUGAAAUAAAGUCGAAAAGACAGAAAGGGGGUAAAUGAGUUUAGUGUAGUAAAGUUCUUACAUUCAUAUGUGAAAUAGUAUAAUAUUAAUUUAAUGUAUGCAGUUAUAAUAUAUGGAUAUAUAUUAUAAUUUCUAGAAUAACUUCUGAAAAGGUAGAGCAAAACAGCCAAAUGAAGAGAUAAAAUGCUAUCUUAUUUAAAUUUCAAGGAAGACAGAAAAUUAAAAAAGACGUAUACCUGGGACAAAUAAAAAACAAGACAAAAUUGUAUUCUUAAAACUAACUAUAUUGCCAGAUGACCCUCCCAGUAGUUUAUGAUGUUGGGAAACCAUGUAGUUCAGCAUGAACACCCCUCUUGGCUUAAACCAAUCAGUUCAAGUGAAUCCCCCUCUUGUAGUAACCAAUCACCCCUACCCAACUUGUUCCCGCCAGUGAAUGUGCUAAUCAUGUUUCAGAGUUGUUAUUUGAUUUUCCUGCGGUGUGUGAUGAUUUGCUAAGAGAUGCUAUGAUGUAUGUGGGGGUCCCUGCCUUCUCCAAAGAAUGUAUAAAACUGCUGCAAACCCUGGGCUCAGGGCCUCUCAGCAUCACUAGUUGCUGUGUGUGCGCAGAGGACCAAGCUAGCUCGCAAUAAACACCUCUUUACUGUUUACAUCGAAAAAAAAAAAAAAAAAACUAACUAUAACACUAAUUACAUUAUAUAUAAAUGGGAUAAGAAAUUUAAAAGGCAGAGAUUGUCAGAUUGCAUGAAAAUCACAUAUGCUGAUUACAAGAGAAAAAGCUAAAUAUAAAUAUGACAACUAGGUAGCUACAAAAAUAUGCAAAAACAUAAACAAUGCAAAUAGUCAUUAACAACAGAGAGAGGGGGUAAAGUUGAGUGGGUCUAUCAAUAUCAGAAAUAGUCAAUUUAAAUAUAAGAAAUAUUGCCACAGGUGUCAAGGUGCAUUUAAUAAUGAUAAAGGGAAGAUAAAAAUUCCUCAAAUGUCUCAACCUCUUGGUGAAAGAGUCACUGACAAGAUUAAGAAAAAUUAAAGCCUGAACUUAAAUGAGAGGCUUUCUCAAAUAUAUAUUUCUCUGCUUAUUAGAAUUCCUGACUCUAUUGAUCCACUGGUAAAAAACAAACCUCACAAGUACCUCUUGGUAGUCUCAUCAUGUUUAACCUUUUACUAGUUAGUCAUUAAAUAAAUAUCUACAAUAUAUACAAUAAUGCUUGCAAUAGAAAAAAAUAAAGGUAGAGAUUUAGGAAAUGUAAUUGAAGGGCAGUAAAGGAUAGUGUCUCUGAAAAAAAAAUAUUAUUUAUGUUGACCCAAGAAAGUAAAGUAUCAGCCAGGCAUGGUGGCACAUGCCUGUAAUCCCAUUGACUUGGUAGCCAAGGCAGGAAGGUCACAAGUUCAAGGCCAGCCUCAGUAAUUCAGCAAAACUCUUAGCAACUUAGUGAGAUACUACUCAUUAAAAUUAAACAAGGACUAGGGAGGAAGCCAGAGGUGGAGCACACCUGAGUUUAAUACCCAGUACUCAAAAAAGAAGAAAGGAAAAGUUUAUUUAUAGAAUCAUUUUUAUAUUCAUUUUUUCUCUUAUAAACAGCAUUCCUUCUCCAUACAUCGCCUUCAGAUACCUGGGGAAAGAUUGUCAUGGGCAGAAGCAACAUGUGCAAAGGUAUUUACCUGCUAAGAAUGUGAAAUGGACAGGAAUUGAUUGUAGUAGAGGAGAGAGAGAGAGGGAUAUAGUAGUAAAAUAUGAGGCCAGCAAGUAGUGGGGAGUUACAUCAUGUAGAAUCAUGAAUGCCUCUUGUGCACCUAGAUUGGUCUCUGAAUGAGAUGGUAAGCCAGUGGAAGGGUUUUAGGGCAGAGAAGUAGCAUUUGACAUGUUCUAUAUUAUCAUUUGGCUGCAGUGUGGAUAUUAAAUUUCUAUCCCUUAAGAUAGCUAACAAAACAUUAUGUAAGGCAGACAAAAAUACUUGCAGAUUUAUUGGUUUGUUUUUGAUACUAGAUUUAUAUGUUGGUGGCUUUUAUAUGCUCUGUUUGUGUUCCUUUGAGAUUUUUGGAAAUAUUUUUGACAUUCAGCUAUUGAAAUAUUUAUUUUAAUAUAGUCAUAUAUCUGAUGAGUGACUAUAAUAAUACACAUUGUAUACUUUUAUAGUUAAUUAAAUACCACCAAUAACAAACCAUUAAGGCUUUUAUAGAGUAUAGGAAUUUUUCUUCAUUUUCACUUAAACCUUUCUUAGCUCCAGAUUAAAAACAGGUGAUAUUUAUUUAUAAAUAAAAUAAAUUUGUUUAUAAGUUAUGUACUUAUAUCUUAGCUUACCAUUUCCUACAUCUUUAUGAAUUCUGAUAGUAGUCCCAACUGAUGGAUUAUCAUCAGAAUGACCCAGCAAUAUUCCUUUCAUGUAUGUGCCUUCUUUUUAUGUCAUUGAAGGGUAGUAAAGGAUAGUGUCUCAGUUUUGCCUUUGUCCUGUUAUGAUAAGGCAGGCCUUGGCGGUGGUUUUUAUUUUUAGUCACUCCUUCUCUGACUUUCUUUUUUGAUAUCAUUCUAUCUUUUGCAGCAACUUGAGAAAGGAACCAAAAUGUCUAAGUGUAACAUUGGAUAAGAAAAUGAAAACUUCACUGAAGACUUAAUUCCAAUGGAUAAGAUGCUUAUUUUUUUUUCUUUUAAACUAUUAGAGUGACGGACGGCCUUUGUUGAUAACUGAAUUCUGUCCUGGCUGUGAAGAUACGUUCUUGUCAGUUUUUUACAAAGAGACCACGAAUAAGCUAUAAUCCAGGAAGUUUUCAUAAUUUUAAGUUAUGACAUAAGGAUUUUCAGGACUGGGGAAUGACAAUAUUCAUUUUCCCAAGUGUUAAACUUUAGUUCAUUUUAAAGGAAUCACUCUUUAAUAAAUCAUGUCCCACAGCUUGUUAUUUCACUAAUCCUUCCAAAGUGUCUACCCCAAUUUUCACAUUUGUGAAUUGGUUGCAUAUUUAUUUACUUAAUGUUAUUGUGUAUUAAUGUUUUGUCCUAAAAUAUUCAAAUAUGACACUUUGGUGCAUCAUCAGAUUUGUCAAAAGGUGAUUUGCUUUUUUGUGAAUGAUCAUGCAUAACAUUCUGGUUUGUCUUAUAGCCUUCUCUUUAUUUUUGAAAUGUAUCCAUACAUCUCUCCAUUCGUUUAUCCUGUCUAUCAAAUGUAC
rnacentral:lncRNA from 1 species